AGGGUGUUGAUCUAGUGUACCAGGUGUAUCGGGAGCAUCUGACCUGCUCACUGUACGAGUAUUACGCGGAGGUCACUUUACACCACAGUUCCCCCUCCGGCGCUUACACUCGUUCCUUUAAGGGUGGUUUCGCUUCCACGCCAUCUCAGGCCAUCCAGUUUGCUGCACUCGAGGCACUUGUAGACUUGCACUACAACGAGGUUCGCAUGCAGGCCCAUCCAGGUUUCUAUUUCUACCCGUCUCUACACGAGAACGGGUGUAUCCGUUUCCCUUUUAUUGAUCCGGCGUGUGAUCGUCCUUCUAGCCACCUUUCUCGCUAUAUCACUGCCAAUUAUCUCUUGAUCUAUGAGUUGGCCCGAGAGUUAACCCGAGCCCGGAUAGCCCUUAUCGUUGCUCGGAAUAGGAACCCUCCACCUACUGUCGAAUUUACCCCGUUCGUUCCUCCACCCUCUGCUACUCCUGUUACUCCGGUGACCACUCAGGGUACCACGAACCCUUUGGCAGUGACUCCUUGCAGUGCCCCUGCUGCGUGGGCUUCCCUUGUCGCUACUCCUGCAGCCCCUAUGCUCCAGUCUUGCCCUGCACCUGCCCCUGAGGGAGAGUCCUCGAGGCAGCGUUGUCGUGUCACUUUUAACCCGGAGGUUUCCACUAUCAGCUCAGCAUCUGAGUCCGGCUCAGGAGAGGAACCCGCAGCACCAGCCGAGCACUAGAUCGUUAGAGUAUCUGCAGUCGUCAUGAGGUUGAUGUACGGAUGUAGUCAUAUGUGUCAUGAUGCUUAGUUUCAUGUAUGAGGGUAGUCGAACCCGUCAUGAUGUUUAUUUUUCAUGUAUGAGUCUAUGUAUAAUUAUGUUGGGACUUUUUAUUAUUUGCCUUGAUUUUUCGAUGUUUUCUUCCGGGUUUGUCGCUGGCUUUUCUUCCCAUUUUUGGAUAUUGCUCAUCCCGGUUGCUUUAUAUUGGGAAAACAAAUAAUAGGAUGAUGCAGGGAGGCAGUAGCAGCCACGCUUGUGAGGAUGUCCCUGUUCGUCGCUCAGCAAGACAGGCAGGACAUUCCCCCAAGCCGUAUCCUCCGCCACCGCCACAUCUGCCAUCCACUGAGCAGAUCAUGCGUAUGUUUGAAGAAAGAAGGAACAAUGAUCUGAUUGAGCUAUUGAAAAGUGUGCAAGCUAUGGUUGGGCAGAAUGGAAAUCAAAAUGGUCAUCACUCCAAGCUGUCAGAUUUUCAGAGGACCAAGCCCCCCAGUUUCAGUCAAGUUAUCGAUCCUUUGGAAGCCGAUGAUUGGUUAAGGAGUACUGAGAAAAAUCUUGAGAUUGCUCGCACUGAAGAAGCUGACAAGGUUCCGUUCGCUACGCAUUAUCUUGAAGGAGCUACUGCUAUAUGGUGGGAUAAUGCUAAAGCUAUGUGGCCUGCGGACGAAAAAAUUACUUGGACUAAAUUCAAGGACCAUUUCUGCAAGUAGCAUAUUCCCGCCGGGAUUAUGAAGGUCAAGCAGCUCGAAUUCCUCACUCUCACCCAAGGAAGCCUGUCAGUAAGUGAGCACCUGCAUAAGUUCAAUCAUUUGGCUCGCUAUUCUCUCUAUGAUGUGGCCACAAAAGAAAGGAAGAUCGACAUAUUUAUUGGAGGACUGAAUCAACACCUCAGAUGCACUCUCAGUAUGCUCGACUUUCCGGAUUUCCAGACUUUGGUAAACAAAGCCCUCAUUGCAGAAAGAGAACACAAGCUCGUGCACGACAACAGACCCGCCAAUAAUGAUAACAAGUGCAAAUUCGAGCCUAAGAAGGAUGGACAACCAGUGCAGAAGGCUCGUACUUGGAAGCAGACUCAGGUUGAGUACAAGCCCAAUUGGCAGCAGAACGUGAACACGACCACUACUCAAGUCAAGAAUGUCGUAACCAGCCCGGUGCACGAGGAAUGUCAGCGCAACAAUUCAUGCUUCAAUUGUGGGCAAACCGGACAUUAUGCCAGACAGUGCCCCAAGAACGGCAAGCCAAAUGCCCGAUUUAGGCCGCAAGUCAACCACAUGGGGCCAUGCCAUGUCCAGAGGACCAUCCAAGGGCAAGUUCACCACCUCUCCGCAGAUGAAGCCCGAGAGGACCCUGAAGUCGCCAUUGGUAUGUUUCCUGUUAAUAGCAUACAUGCAAUAAUUUUAUUUGACUCUGGGGCUUCCACUCUUUUAUUUCGCGGAGUUUUGUUGCCCAAAACAAGUUUCCUUGCUCGAUUUUGGGAAAAAGUAUGAUGGUACAAUCCCCGGGAUCCGUGCUCGGAAGUAAUCUGGUCUGCCGUAAUUUGGAAAUUGAUAUCAAGGGAGUCAGAUUUACAACUUCCUUGAUAGUCAUCGAGUCUGCCAAGUUGGAUAUUAUUUUGGGGAUGAACUGGUUGACCCAAUAUCAAGUAUGCAUCAACUGUGCGACCAGACAAGUCACUUUGACAAGCCAGGAAGGUCGAACCACAAAAUUCUAUGCCCGUAGGAGCAUACCCAAGAAAGAAUUGGUCUUCACUGCUGUAGCUAAAGAAUUGGAAUUAAUUCAUGUGGUCAGUGAAUUUCCAGAUGUAUUCCCUGAGGAAUUACCAGGAAUGCCGCCAGACCGGGAGCUUGAGUUUGCAAUCGAUCUUGUGCCCGGGACCGCACCAUUAUACAAGAAGUAUUAUCGGAUGCCUUCGUCAGAAUUAGUAGAAUUAAAGAAAUAGCUUGAUGAGAUGCUUCAGAAAGGAUACAUCCGCCCAAGCUCUUCACCAUGGGAAUCCCCCGCAAUAUUUGUGGACAAGAAAGACGGCAGUCUCCGGAUGUGUGUGGAUUACCGUCAGCUGAAUGAUGUCACUAUCAAGAACAAAUAUCCACUACCGAGGAUUGAUGAUUUGUUUGAUCAACUCAGUGAGGCAAAAGUAUUCUCCAAGAUUGAUUUGAGGACCGGAUACCACCAACUCAAGAUCAAGAAGGAAGAUAUUCCUAAGACCACGUUCACUACUCGAUACGGUCUUUACGAAUAUACAGUUAUGUCUUUCGGCCUCACCAAUGCCCCUGCCUUCUUCAUGCAUGAUGAAUAAGGUGUUCAUGGAUUUCUUGGAUAAGUUUGUGGUAGUCUUCAUUGAUGACAUCCUCAUAUACUCACAAGGUGAAGAAGAGCACAAGGAACAUCUCAGGGCAGUCUUACAAAGACUCCAUGACCAUCAGCUAUAUGCAAAAUUCAGCAAAUGUGAGUUUUGGCUCAAGCAAGUCGGAUUUUUAGGGCAUGUUCUUUCAGCAGAAGGCAUAGCCGUGGAUCCAAGCAAGGUAAAAGAUGUGCUUGAUUGGACGGCACCCACGACCGUAUCCCAGAUCCGGAGUUUCCUUGGAUUAGCCGGAUACUACCGCCGCUUCAUCGAAGGUUUCUCUAAGAUUGCCAAGCCAAUGACAGAGAUCCUCAAGAAAGAUAAGAAGUUUGAAUGGAUUGAGGAUUGUGAGAAGAGCUUCAAUGAGCUAAAGACCAGACUGACAACGACCUGUGUUGACCCUUCCAGACAUAUACCGCAACUUUGAUGUAUACUGUGACGCAUCCAAGAGAGGUAUUGGAUGUGUACUCAUGCAAGAUGGCAAGGUUGUAGCAUACGCAUCUCGACAGCUAUGACCUCACGAAGGGAACUAUCCAACACAUGAUUUGGAGUUGGUCGCAGUUGUGCAUGCUUUGAAAAUUUGGAGACACUACCUCAUUGGAAAAAAGUGUUAGAUAUUUACCGACCACAAGAGUCUCAAUUAUAUAUUCACUCAACCGGACUUAAAUCUUAGACAGCGAAGAUGGCUCGAGUUGGUCAAGGAUUAUGAUCUUGGAAUCGAUUACCACCUCGGUAAGGCCGAUGUUGUUGCCGAUGCUCUCAGCCGUAAGCCUGCCAGCUUGAACGCCCUGGUAGAGUCCUUGCCUCCCGAACUCCAAGAAGAGAUCGCUCAACUCAAUUUGGUUAUUGUUGAUGCGGGCCUUGCCAAUAUAUUGGAAGUCACUCCUACUCUCGAGGAUGAGAUCCGCAUGGCCCAACAAGAUGACCCAGUCCUACAAAAACAUGUCACGUGUAUGCAAGAAGGCGAGACCCAGGAUUUCUCUAAGGAGAAGCAAGGUACUCUAAGGUUUCGAGGACGGAUUUGCGUACCUGAGCAAGCAGACCCGAGAAGAAGAUUUUGGUAGAGGCGCAUGAGUCUUCGUACUCGAUUCACCCAGGGGGUACCAAAAUGUAUGAAGACCUUCGACUGAUAUUUUGGUGGGAUGGAAUGAAGAAAGACAUUGCAUACUUUGUCGCUUGCUGCGAUAUAUGCAACAAAGUUAAGGCGGAACACCAGAAACCCGCCGGACUUCUUCAACCCCUACCCGGUUCACAAUGGAAGUGGGAUGAUACCUGCAUGGAUUUCAUCACAGGCCUACCAAGGACUCACCGAGGCAAUGAUGCAGUAUGGGUCGUGGUGGACACACUGACUAAGGUAGCCCACUUCAUUCCCAUCCGAACCACCUACCGAGCCGAUCAGCUCGCCCAGCUAUAUGUGUCCAGAAUCGUCAGUGUGCAUGGAGUGCCAAGAACAAUCACUUCAGACCGAGGUUCUCUCUUUACCUCAGCAUUUUGGUCACGUCUCCAUCAAGCCUUGGGGACUGCCCUAAAAUACAGCACAGCCUAUCAUCCUCAAACAGACGGGCAGACUGAGCGGGUAAACCAAAUACUUGAAGAUAUGCUUCGAGCAUGUGCUUUGGCCCAAGGACCCAAGUGGGACGAUUGUCUGCCGUAUGCUGAGUUCUCCUACAACAACAGUUUUCAGACCAGCCUGAAGAUGUCACCUUAUGAGGCUUUGUAUGGCCGUAAGUGCCGCACUUCGCUAAACUGGUCUCAAACCGGAGAUAGCCGCAUUUUUGGAACUACUUUAAUGAUGGAGGCUGAAAGGCAAGUCAAGGAAAUCCGAGAUAGACUGCAGUUGGCUAAGUCCCGACAGAAGAGUUAUUAUGAUGCAAAGCAACGUUGGAUCAGUUUUGAACCCGGAGAGCAUGUGUACCUCCGAGUCACACCCAUGAAAGGAGUCAAGAGAUUCCAGACCCGAGGAAAACUGGCACCAGAUAUAUUGCUCCAUUCCCAGUUAUGACCAGAGUUGGCACAAUUGCUUAUCAGUUGGAAUUGCCACCAGAAUUGUCAGAAGUACACGAUGUGUUCCAUGUCUCACAGUUAAGAUUGAUAUGGCAGAAAUAGAGCUGGCUAUGGAUUUAACCUAUGAGGAGAAACCGUUCAGAAUAUUGGAUGAGAUAGAAAGAGUCGCUCGCAGUAAAGUGAUAAAGUUUAUAAGGUUCAGUGGGAGCAUCACACCGUGGAAGAAGCAACUUGGGAAAGAGAGGAAUUUUUAAGGACAGCCUACCCAGAAUUGUUUUCCUGAGCAACCGAAUCUCGAGGACGAGAUUCAUCCUAAGUGGGGGAGGUUUGUGACAGCCGGGUUUUUGCCUUCUCUCUUUUUCCGGGCUUCUUUGCAACUGAUUUUGAAUUUGGAGUUUUGAAUCAAUUCAAAUGGACUUAAACACUUGGGCAUGUCCUUGAUUUUCACCCAAGUGACCCAUCCCUCUCAAAAUCAUUAUUCUAUCUCUGAAAAAUCUCAAAAUGACCCAAGUAAUAUUUUUCAUAAAAGAGAAAUAUUCAUUUUCUUCUCUGAAAUUCAAUUCAGCAACAUAUGCUCCAAAGCAACCCUCAUUUUUCUUGCACCCAAAAAUCUGAGAAAAUUCCCAAAUAUUCUUUGGACCUCGGUACACCUCCCUGAGCAAAAAUAUUGCCUAAGUUUUUGGAAUAUUUUUGCUACAGAAAAUCAUUUCUAUUCUGGCCUCAAAAGGCAGUUUCUACAGCAAGUAUACUUUUCCUUGAUCUAAUGAGGCUGAUUUUUCUUGAGCCUCAUUACCCUCCUAAGAAAACCUUAAUCCCAGGAGAUUAGCCCUAAACCCCUUCUAGAACCUCUCCAAACACAGUGCACAAGUUUCUGUCCAGAAACUUGCCGUUUCUCUCUUGUUAAAUCUGGUCGGCCUGGCAGUGUGCCAUCUCUUCCUCUAGACUAAACACUGCAUGGACAACACACUAGACACGGUUUGGCAUCGCCUAGGCGUCAUUUUGACCGAGCUAGCGUGGUGACCGCGUGAGGACAUGGCCCUGGCAAUGCGUUCGACGCGCUCUACGCUGCGCCCGUGCUUCUGUUCAACGCAUGCUCGUAUCAGAGCUCGCCGACGACUGCCGCACCGCGCCACCAGAUUCGUCUCAUCGCCCUUGACCUCUCCCUAGCGCUCGCAGACGCCGGAGCCGCCGCAACGAGCAUGGGCACGCCGCGGCCAAAGCCACAGUGCGCCCCGUGCCACUGUCUUCGUCCGUGCCCGCACUCCUGUGCUCGUCCGCAAGCUCCAUGAUGACCCACAAGUAUAGGGGAUAAAUUGUAGCUCUUUUUGAUAAGUAAGAGUGUCGAACCCAACGAGGAGCAGAAGGAAAUGACAAGUGGUUUUCAGCAAGGUACUGUCUGCAAGUGCUGAAAUUGUAUGUAGCAGAGUAGUUUGAUAGCAAUAUAAUUUGUAACGAGCAAGUAACGAUAGUAGUAACAAAAGUGUAGCAAGGUAGCCCAAUCCUUUUGAGGCAAAGGACAGGCCAAAACGGUCUCUUAUGAUAAGCAAAGUGUUCUUGAGGAUACACGGGAAUUUCAUCUAGUCACUUUCAUCAUGCUGGUUCGAUUUGUGUUUGCUACUUUGAUAAUUUGAUAUGUGGGUGGAUUGGUGCUUAGGUGUUGUUCUUACUUGAACAAACCUCCUACUUAUGAUUAACCCUCCCACAAGCAUCCGCAACUACGGGAAAAGUAUUAAGAAUAAGUUCUAACCAUAUCAUUAAACUUUUGGAUCCAAUCGGCCCCUUACGAAAUAGUGCAUAAACUGGGGUUUAAGCUUCUGUCACUCUCGCAACCCAUCAUCUAAUUACUACUCCACAAUGCAUUCCCUUAGGCCCAAAUAUGGUGAAGUGUCAUGUAGUCGACGUUCACAUGACACCACUAAGGGAAUCACAACAUACAUACUAUCAAAAUAUCGAACACAUAUCAAAUUCACAUGAUUACUUGCAACAUGAUUUCUCCCGUGACCUCAAGAACAAAAGUAAAUACUCACAAAUGAUAAUCAUGCUCAAGAUCAGAGGGGUAUUAAAUAGCAUAUUGGAUCUGAACAUAUAAUAUUCCACCAAAUAAACCAUAUAGUAAUCAACUACAAGAUGUAAUCAACACUACUAGUCACCCACAAGCACCAAUCUAUAGUUCCCAUAACAAGAUUGAAUACAAGAGAUGAACUAGGGUUUGAGAUGAGAUGGUGUUGUUGAAUAUGUUGAUGGAGAUUGCCCUCCCCAAGAUGGGAGAGUUGUUGGUGAUGAUGAUGACGAUGAUUUCACCCUCCGGGAGGGAAGUUCCCCCGGCGGAAUCUCUCAGCCGGUGGGCAAAAGUUCUCCUUCCCAAGUUCCGCCUCGAGACGGCGGCGCUCCGUCCCAAAAGUCCUCCCUUUAUUUUUUCUAGGUCAAAAUGACCUAUAUACCAGAAGAUGGGCACCAGAGCUGGGCCUGGGUGAGCACAACCCACUAGGGCGCGCCUAGGCUCCCUGGCGCGCCCAGGUGGGUUGUGUGCCCACCUGGUGGGCCCCCUCUGGUAGUUAUUUGCUCCAAUAUUCUUCAAAUAUUCCAUAAAAAAUCUCCGUGAAGUUUCAGCUUGUUUGGAGUUGUGCAGAAUAGGUAGCCUGACAUAGCUUUUUCAGGUCCAGAUUUCCAGCUGCCGGAAUUCUCCCUCUUUGUGUGUACCUUGCAUAUUAUGAGAGAAAAGGCAUUAGAAUUACUCCAAAAAGCAUUAUUAUGGAUAAAAACAUCAUAAAUAACAGUAAAAAAACAUGAUGCAAAAUGGAUGUAUCAACUCCCCCAAGCUUCCUCGCUUGUCCUCAAGCGAAAACCGAAAUCGAAAAACAUGUCCACAUGCUUUGAGAGAGAGGUGUCGAUAAAAACAAAAUACGGACAUAGAAGCAUCAUGUAGAUUAUUAAAACAACAACAAAUUUAAACAUAAAACUUUUAUCAUAGAGCUUUUAUCAUAAACUUCUCAUGAAUAAGUAACAGUUCAUCACACAAUCGAAGUAUAAAGUAUGAACUCUAUUAGAAACCAACAAACUAUGUUCUCAGUCAACUUUGCAACUACAAUCCAUCAUCUUUUAGGAAGGGUCACGUAUCGGAGCCUUUAGGCAAGUCCACAUACUCAACCAUCAUAUAGUCUUCUAUGAUUGCUAACACUCACCGCAUACACAUGAGCAAAACGUUUCAACCGGACACAUAGAAAGAUAGGGGCUUAUGGUUUCGCCUCCCAACGUAUUCACCUCAAGGGUGAUGGCAACAAUAAUAACCCAUGCCACCCAUAUUCAACUGGACAUAUGUGCCUAGAUCUUUCCUCACCACAUGAUGGUUGCCAAAGGAGAAAAGAAAAAGGAAUAGAGAGAAAACUUUGACUCUUUGCAUAAAAGUAAAUACAUAAAAGUAAAGAUAGGCCCUUCGCAGAGGGAAGUAGAGGUUGCCAUGUGCUUAUUUGUUUGUAUGCUCAACCCCUUAGUGCAAAAGAACGUCACGUUGCAUUGCCCCUUGUGAUAGCGACUUUUAUUAUGCAGUCUGUCGCUUUUAUUCUUCACCAUCACAAGUUCGUGCAACGCUCAAUUUUCUCUUACACUAAAUGAUCUCACACAUUUAGAAGCAAUUUUUAUUGCCUUUUUGCACCGAUGACAACUUACUUGAGGGAUCUUGCUCAAUCCCUAGGUAGGUACGGUGGACUCUUGAAAAUAAGAUUUGGGUUUAAGGGUUUUUGGAUGCACGAGUAGUAUCUCUACUUAGUGCGGAAUUUUUGGCUAGCAAAGAUAGAGGCAAGCACCACAUGUUAAAGGAUCUAUGACAAUAUGACUUCUAUGUGAAUAUGAACAAACAUGAACCAUUAAGUUGUCUUCCUUGUCCAACGUCAACAAUUUUGGUAUAUAAUAUUUUGAUGGGGGCUCACAAUCACAAAAGAUUUCUAGGAUAGUAUAUUUAUAUGUGAAUCUUCUCUUCCCUUAUUAAUUCUUUCAUGAGUUGCAUCAUUGACCAAUGCUAUGUUUGUCAAUCUCUAAUAAAAUUUUCUACUUAUACUUUUCCUUAUGUGGUGCCAUCACCUACCAUAAGAUUAGCAUAUGAUAUUUUUCUUUUAUUUCCUUUCUUUUUAUUUAUAUCCUUUCUUUUUAUUGCAACAUGAAAGUAAAGAAAUCAAAAACUCAAACUAAACUUUAUUAUAUAUCUUGCACACGAUUACAAGGAUAGAUCACUAAGCAAGCUCUUGAAAAGAAAGGAUCGAACUAAACUUUUAUUCAUUCUAAAGAAAAAGAUUGAACUAAAAAUAGUAAAGGCAAAAAGAUAGUAGGGAUGAUACGACACCGGGGCACCUCCCCCAAGCUUGGCGGAAGCCAAGGGGAGUGCCCAUACUCGAAACUCAAUUUUCCUCUGGUGAUGAAGAAGAUGGUGGUGGUGAUGAUGUAGAGGGCAUGUCCUUCUUCCUUAGCUUACGCUUGAGGAUGGAAUUUUCCUCCUUUAGUUCACCGACCUCCUGUUCAAGCUCCAGUGCCUUCUUGCAUAGAUCUUGCUUAUUCUCCUGCAAAAGAUAGUAAGGUAUGAACUGAAUCUUAGGCCUCUUUGGUUUCUUUGGGAGGCUUGACUUCUUGAAUUCCACAUGCAUGUCCCCAGGUUGAGGUAAUGGAGGUUCGUCCUCAUCUGAGCUCGUCUCCUCCCUUUCCCUAGGAUAAUAGUCUUCCUCUUCCUCUGUGGUCCAGCCAUAGUGCUCUACAUCCCCAUAGGACUUGGGGUUCGAGAUGAAAUCAGCAUCAUAGCUUUCACCCUCAGAGUCUUGGGAUGACAUGAUUUUAGAUCUGACAGGAAAACAGCAAGAAAAGAGAACAGAAGAUUUCUUCGCGAUACGGUGGUCAACAAGUUCGGGGAUUAUAUAAAGGAUUUUUAUCUUGAGGGUACGCUUCCUGGAAGUUUCUUAUUUUCCUAAUUUUCUAAAUAUUCCAAAACUAACAAAAAUAUUUUUGCGGAUUUUUCGGAGUCCGUUUACUUACCCUAUCACGUACCUCCUUAUUUUCACGAUUCUGGAGUGAUCCGGCAGGACUAUUUUAUGUGUUCUUCCGGUGUCAAAGUUUGGGUAAUAUUGAUUUCAACAUUAAUGGGUGUACCUAAGAAAUAAUGCUUUAUUCUUCGCCCAUUAACAACCUUCGGGUUAGUACAUUCGGCAUUAUUUAUUUUAUAGCUCCAGACCGAUAAACCUCCUCGAUAACAUAGGGUCCUUCCCAUUUGAGAGGAGUUUUCCUGCAAAGAACCUGAAAUGAGAGUUGUACAAAAGAACAUAUUCUCCAACUUUAAACUCACGCUUUUGGAUUCUUUUAUCAUGCCAUCUUUUAACCUUUUCUUUAAACAACUUGGCAUUUUCAUAAGCUUGGGUUCUCCAUUCAUCUAAUGAGCUAAUAUCAAAUAACCUCUUUUCACCGGCAAGUCUGAAAUCAUAGUUGAGUUCUUUGAUUGCCCAAUAUGCUUUAUGUUCUAAUUCAAGAGGGAAAUGACAAGCUUUUCCACAAACCAUUUUAUAAGGAGACAUACCCAUAGGAUUUUUAUAUGCUGUUCUAUAAGCCCAAAGUGCAUCAUCUAAUUUCUUAGACCAAUUCUUCCUGGACCUAUUAAUAUUAUUUUGCAAAAUUAAUUUUAUUUCUCUAUUACUAAGUUCAACUUGACCACUAGACUGAGGAUGAUAGGGUGAUGCAAUUCUAUGGUUAACAUCAUACUUGGCAAGCAUUUUACGGAAAGCACCAUGAAUAAAGUGUGAACCACCAUCAGUCAUUAAAUAUCUAGGGAUUCCAAACCUUGGGAAAAUAACUUCCUUAAGCAUUUUAAUAGAGUUUUUGUGAUCAACACUAUUGGAUGGAAUAGCUUCUACCCAUUUAGUAACAUAAUCAACAACAACCAAAAUAUGUCUAUACCCAUUAGAGGAAGGAAAAGGUCCCAUGUAAUAAAAACCCCAAACAUCAAAUGGUUCAACAGCAAGUGAAUAAUUCAUAGGCAUUUCUUGACGCUUACCGAUAUUACCUAUUCUUUGACAUUUAUCACAAGAGACAAACUUACGGGCAUCCUUGAAGAGAGUAGGCCAAUAAAAUCCAGAUUGCAAUACCUUGUGAGCAGUUCUAUCUCCAGCAUGAUGCCCUCCAUAUGCUUCAGAGUGACAUUUCCGAAGGAUUUGUCCCUGUUCAUGCUCAGGUACACAACGUCUAAUAAUACCAUCUACUCCUUCUUUAUAAAGAUGUGGGUCAUCCCAAAAGUAGUGUCUUAAAUCAUAGAAGAAUUUUUUCUUUUAUUGGUAUGUAAAGCUAGGUGGUAAAUAUUUAGCAACAAUAUAAUUAGCAUAGUCAGCAUACCAAGGAGUAUUAUGAGUAACAUUUAUUGCAGCUAACUGCUCAUCAGGAAAACUAUCAUUAAUAGGUAGUGGGUCAUCAAGCACAUUUUCAAGCCUAGACAAGCUAUCAGCUACGGGGUUCUCAGCUCCUUUUCUAUCAAUGAUAUGCAAAUCAAAUUCUUGAAGCAAGAGAACCCAUCGAAUAAGUCUAGGUUUAGCAUCUUUCUUUUCCAUAAGAUAUUUAAUAGCAGCAUGGUCGGUGUGAACAAUCACUUUUGAAUCAACAAUAUAAGAUCUAAAUUUAUCACAAGCAAAAACCACUGCUAGGAAUUCUUUUUCAGUAGUAGCAUAAUUCUUUUGAGCACUGUCUAGAUUUUUACUAGCAUAAUAAAUGACAUUCAAUUUCUUAUCAACUCUUUGUCCUAGAACACUACCAACAACAUAAUCACUAGCAACACACAUAAUUUCAAAAGGCAAGUUCCAAUCAGGUGGUUGAACAAUAGGUGCAUAAAUUAAGGAUUUCUUGAGUGUUUCAAAGGCUUCAAAACAAUCAUCAUCAAAAACAAAAGGAAUAUCCUUUUGCAAAAGAUUUGUAAGAGGCCUAGAAAUUUUAGAGAAGUCUUUGAUAAAACUCCUAUAGAAACCAACAUGACCUAGGAAACUACGAAUACCUUUGAUAUCCUUAGGACAUUGCAUUUUCUCAAUUGCAUCAACCUUAGCUUUGUCCACUUCAAUACCCUUUUCAGAAAUUUUAUGACCCAAGACAAAACCUUCAUUAACCAUAAAUUGGCACUUCUCCCAAUUCAAGACAAGAUUUGUUUGUUCACAUCUCUGCAAAACUCGAUCAAGAUUGCUUAAAAAAUCAUCAAAAGACUUCCCAUAAACAGAGAAGUCAUCCAUGAAAACUUCAACAAUCUUUUCACAAAAGUCAGAGAAUAUAGCAGUCAUACAUCUUUGAAAGAUAGCAGGUGCAUUGCAUAAACCAAAAGGCAUACGUCUAUAAGCAUAAGUUCCAAAGGGACAAGUAAAAGUGGUCUUUUCUUGAUCAGGUUGAGAAACAUGUAUUUGUGAAAAACCAGAAUAUCCAUCAAGGAAGCAAACACUACAAAAAAAGACACAUCCAUGACACUUUGGGCCGAACGAAUUUUUUUUUGUCAUACUUAUGACACUUCUAUGACGAUAAUUGUGACAAAACCCGGUAUCAUCAUAGAUGUGGUGGGGUCCUACUUCUAUGACAAAAAAUCAUGAUGGAAAAUGGGCUUUUCGUCCUGGGCGGGCUGGAGACGCAACUACAUGACAUUCUUUGGGCCGUCCAUGACGGAAAAAACCGUGGUAGAAGCGAGGGCGAGGAAAAUAUCGGGGUGUUCCCGGUUACGGUGGGUGGUCGGGGCCGAGCGAUGCGUGUUUCUCUCGUACACGCACGCGCGUGGGUGCGAGGCGUUGGGCUCUAACUGAACCCGAGCGAGGCGUUGGGCUCUAACUGAACCUGAGCGAUUGCACUGUAGGCUACGCGUUACUGAACCCGAGCGAUCGAAUGAUGGCUGUUAACUGAACCCGAUCGAGCGAUUCCUUUGCUACUGCUGCUAACUGAAGCCAAUCGAUGCUGCCUUUGGAUGAACAGUGAGCAUUGCUGGGGGGGUUUGGAUGAACAGUUCCCGGUGGUGGUGGAUGAACAGAACCCCGUGGUGUGCCUCUGGAUGAACAGGACCCCGAUCGAUCGAGCCGGUUGGGGCUGGAUGAACAGGACCCCGUGCAGGGCAGGAUGAACAGGACCACCCCGUGGAGGGCAGGAUGAACAGUAGACGGUGGAGGGCUGGAUGAACAGUAGCCCGUGGAGGGGUGGUUGAAUAGGAACCCGUGGAGAGGGCUGGUUGAACAGUAGCCGGUGGAGUAGCGCGCGGUGGAGGCUAGAUGAACAGGAACCCGUGGAUGAACAGUCGCAGGUGGAGGCUGGAGGAGGUCGAUGGUGGAUGAAUAGUAGCCCGUGGAGGCUGGAGGGGGUCGACGGUGGAGAUGAACAGUAUCCCGUGGAGUCCCGUUUUGCGGUACGCCACACCCCUCCCGAUGAACAGGACCCCCGUUUCGACCGUAGCGCUCCAACACAAGUCCGUUUCCUCCGUUUUGCGGUACGCCACACCCCUCCCGAUCAACAGGACCCCCGUUUCGACCGUAGGAGGUCUGUUUCCUCCGUUUUGCGGUACGCCAGACCCCUCCUGAUGAACAGGAUCCCGUUUCGAACGUGUCCAGUCGAACACAAGGCCGUUUCCUCCAUUCUGCGGUAUGCCAGGCCUCGUUUCCAUCGGCUGUUCCGUCCAAGCCCUCCCGAUGAACACGACGAUGCAUUCCGUUCUGACCCAGCCGGUUGGCUCCCCAUGAACACGACGACGAUGUUGUUUCUCCGUUCCGACCCAGCCAUAUACACGAGCCCUGGCCGUACGUACGCGCGAGUAGGCGUUCGAGACCCCGCCCGUAUGUACGUACGUGGUCGUAUUUACUUUCUUGCACCCUGGCCGCUGUACGUACGUGUACAUGCUACGUGCGCGCCUCUACUACGACACGUGCGCGCCUCUACAUCGACCAGUAUAUACGUACAUGUUCGUGACCAGAAUGACAACGCUACGUACGCUUCGACCAGGUGGGUCUCGACUGUCGGGCACUUCCUUGCGUGCGAAGAUGUAGCUGGUGGGUCCCAGCAGUCAGGGGGGCGAAUCGUUUUUUUUUGCCCGGACGCACUUCCUUGCGUGCGAAGAUGUAGCUGGUGGGUCCCAGCAGUCAGGGGGAAACAUUUUUUCAUGAAAUACGAUGGCCCGUCCGACGGGUCCCCGCUGUCAGGUGGAGGAAUAUUUAUUUUGCGCGUAAUAAGGAGGCACUUCCUUGCUGCGGCCGUGGACCCAGUUGUCAGCCUCUCCACAUACAGUACUCUUCCGAUGGAAGUCGGUCGUUGACCACAUUGACCACGCCGCGCCGAGAGCACCAAGGCGGUGGACGAUGACGAGGCCUAGGAAGGGGACGACGUGGAGCCAGGGAAGACGCGGCAGUGGAUGCCCACACGGAGAGGAGUACGAGGGUUCACUGGUUCGGCUGCGGUGUGAGGCUGCCAUCGCCACAGAAUAACAGGGGGUGUGGGUGAGUAGAGGGAUGGCCUGGCCAGCGGUGCGAGUAGUAGGGGGCGGUGAGGCCUCCGCGACAUCGCAGUCGGCCACGGGAGGCAGGAGCACGAGGCACGACCGGCGCUGGUUUGGGCGGCUGGAGCAAGAAGACCAGAGGUUGAAGAAGCACUACGACCGUUGGAUGGACAUCGUGCGGUCAAUGGAUCUAGAAUCGUGCAUAUUGACUAAGUUGACAAAGCCCUCCGUCCCCGUCAACUUAGUAGGCCCAUAAGUCAGCCUCCCACUAUACUGGGUCCCAGCUAGCAGGGGGAGUAUUCAUUUUUUGUGUGUAAUAAGGAGGCACUUCCGGUGGGUCCGAGCUGACAGCGGGGGGAACGUUUUUUUUUGCGAAAUACGAUGGCCCGUCCGGUGGGUCCCAGCAGUCAGGGGGAAACAUACGGUGGCCCGUCUGGUGGGUCCCUGCUGUCAGGUGGAGGAAUAAUUAUUUUGCGCGUAAUAAGGAGGCACUUCCUUGCGGCCGCCGUGGACCCAGCUGUCAGCCUCUCCACGUACAGUACUCUUCCGAUGGAAGUCAUUCCUUGACCACGUUGACCACGCCGCACCGAGAGCAUCAGGGCGGUGGACGGCGGCGAGGCCUAGGAAGGGGACGACGCAGAGCCGCGGAAGACGCGGUAGUGGAAGCCCGCGCGGAGAGGAGUACGAGGGUUCACUGGUUCGGCUGCGGUGUGAGGCUGCCGUCGCUGCAGGGCCUGGCCAGCGGUGGGAUUAGUAGGGGGCGGUGAGGCCUCCGCGGUAGCAUAGCCGGUCAUGGGAGGCAGGAGCAUGUGGCACGACCGGCGCUGCUUUGGUCGGCUGGAGCAACAAGACCAGAGGUUGAAGAAGCACUACGGCCGUUGGAUGGACAUCGUACGGUCACUAGAGCUAGAAUCGUUCAUAUUGACUAAGUUGACAAAGCACUCCGUCCCCGUCAACUUAGUAGGCCCACAAGUCAGCCUCCCACCAAGGUGGGUCCCAACCAGCAGGGGGAGUAUUCAUUUUUUUGUGCGUAAUAAGGAGGCACUUCCGGUGGGUCCGAGCUGACAGCGGGGGGAACAUUUUUUUCGCGCAAAACGGUGGCCCGUCCGGUGGGUCCCAGCAGUCAGGGGGGAAACGUUUUUUUUUCACGAAAUACGGUGGCCCGUCCAGUGGGUCCCUGCUGUCAGGUGGAGGAAUCAUUAUUUUCCGCGUAAUAAGGAGGCACUUCCUUGCUGUCGUCGUGGACCCAACUGUCAGCCUCUCCACGUACAGUCCACGUCCGAUGGAAGCCGUUCCUUGACCACGUUGACCACGCCGCGUUCCGUUGCAUGCAUGCGUCCAUGGGCGUGGUGCGUCCCCACUGUCAGCCUCUCACGUGCAGUCAUCUUCCGAUGACUCUCGGUUGUUGACCACGUUGACCACACCGGGCCGAGCGCACCAAAGGACGGUGGACGACAGCGAGGCCCCAGACUGGAACAACCCAGAGAUGGGGAAGACGGGGCAGUGGAGUCGUAGAUGGAGAGGAGUGGGAAACUUGACUGGUGCGGGUGCGCGGCAGCACAGCCGCGGUGCCGCCCACGGGAGACAGGAGCAAGAACAGAGGUUGAAGAAGGAGCACGGCUGUUGGAUUAACAUCCAACGGUCCAUCUGCUAGAAUCAUUUGUUGAUUAAGUUGACAAAGCCCUGCGUACACGUCCGCUUAGUAGGCCCACAAGUCAGCCACCAAAUCUGACGGGUCCCAGCUGUCAACGGGAGGAAUAAUUUUUUCGCAUAACAAGGAGGCACUUCCUUCCGUGCGAAGAUACAGCCGGUGGGUCCCAGCUAUCAGGUGGAGGAAACAUUUUUUCCAGCUUAAUAAGGAGAAACUUUCCUUGCGUGCGACCAUGGACCUCGUGGGUCCCAGCCGUCAGGCUCUCCAUGUAUAGUCCUCUUCCGAUGACUCUCGUUUGUUGACCACGCCGCACCGAGCGCAGCGAGGCGGUGGACGACAGCGAGGCCCGGAUGGGAACGACUCGGAGAUGGGAAGACGCGGCAGUGGAGUUGUAUAUUGAGUGGAGGAGAAGGGUUAUAGCUGGUUCUGGUGCGGCGUGGGGCUGCAGUCGGUGGAGAAUAACAGGAGGUGUGGAGGGGUGGAGGGAUAGCCUGGCCGGCAGUGGGGUAGCGCUUCGCAGCGAUGCGUGCUAAGCAGAGCCGCUAGCCGCCGGAGGCCAGACCAGGCGGUCCCGGUGACGCUGGAGGAAGAAGACGAGAGAUUGAAGGUGCAUGCCGACCAAGUUGACAACGCCCUGCGUAAGCUUCGACCUGUUGGCCCACAUGUCAGCCUGCAAAAAUGUGGCAUAUAUUUAACCCAUCUUUUCUAGAAUGUACAGUCCAUUUGCUGGGCUGGGUGAACAAAUAAUUUCGCGUCAAUGCGGCCCAUUUAUAUUAUCUAAGAAAUCCCAACCCAUUUGCACUUCCUUCAAAUACACGAAUUAGUUGGGCUCGUUAUAUAUAUAAUGUUAUGUUAGAAGGAGCAGUUAAUAUCAAAAAUAAACCGGAGAGGCACAUUUUUUAUAUACAUAAUUAACAAAUUAGCGAUCUAUUGCUCAAAAUAAAAAUGAGCGCGUUAUUAUUACAUUGGUCCUUACAAUCUUCGCAAGCUUUUGUACGCAAUCACCAGGAUUUUCCUUGCCUGUGAGUCAAAAACAACCAGGAUUUUCCUUGCCAACUUCUAUUAAACAUUUACUUUUAUAAGUUAAUAACACGUGGGAUGUUUUUAUAAUGUAUAUAUAAGUCUCUAUAAAAUAUACGAUAAUAGUAAUAAUAUAAAUAUAUAUAAUGUGGUUAAAAAAAUACAUUGGGCUGCCGAUCUUUAAGAAAAAGCCCAUAGGCCGGUAUGGACCUAAAAAAUAAGUUGAAACCACUGUCACCGUAUGUCGUGGGCUACGCAUGUUAAAAUACAAAAAAUAGGCCUAGUUGAUACUUGUUCGCCCUCUGGAAAAAAAGCGACACCAGAUUCCCGAGCGAACUGGAUUAUAAAGGGGGCCGGCGGCACGACUGAAGAAGCACAUCAGGAGCAAUUUUUCUUCUUCAGUGGAUGGCUCUCGAUGGCAUUUUUUUACUUGCCUCUGCACCAUACAACUUGUAUGUUUAGCCUCCCAGUCCGUGGUGGACCAGCAGCCCAUUUGCUGGGCGGGCCAACCUACAGAAACCAGCACUCGAUUUUUCAUCAAGCCCCCAAAACAACGCAAUACUAUGUUUGUUUUGAGGCCGAAAACAUUACGGCAGGGGUUGAGCGGGGGAGGGGGCAAGACAGAGCAAAAAGAUUAAAAAGAGCUGAUGCGUCGUUGCUACCCUAACAAAGUAGGUGCAAUUCUUCUCGGGAAGAAGGUGUGCCGUUGACACCCACACGUCACAUACCCCACAGUAGGCAUACUAACAAGUUCACACACAAGCACAACAGAAAAGGUAAAAAUUUGUAUCAAACUCAGGUUCACAGGACACGUUCAUAUUCAUAGCCAACAUUCACUAUCAACAACUCAAAAGAUUUAUAUAUACACAAGUUCAACAUGUCUAUGGAUCCAAAUGAUUGAUAGAUCACACAACAAUAUUCAUAGAUAAUUCACAAAAAGAUUCAGAUAUACACAUGUUCAGUAUGUUUAUGCGUCCAAAUGAUUGAGAUCACAGCCAAUAUGAUCCAUGGACGAACUUUAAUUACCUAGGGUACAGACUGGCAAAUGGUGUUCAGUCGGAGGUACUUCUUGCUAAAACUAAUGCUUGUACGAGUAACCUUUCGAGUACAUAAGAGGCAGCACAGACAAUCUGAACUUUGCUUGUAGGUUUAUCCUUAAAUAGUGGCCUCGUGCCGAGGGAGGUUUGAGCAACUUGGCCACUACUUUCAUCCAACUAGUUUACUGGCUCAUCUUGGUCCAGUAGCUCGCCAAAAUUCUACAUUGCAGACUGGUAAAUGGUGUUCAGUCGGAGGUACUUCUUGCUAAAAUUAAUGCUUGUACGAGUAAACUUUCGAGUACAUAAGAGGCAGCACAGACAAUCUGAACUUUGCUUGUAGGUUUAUCCUCAAAUAGUGGCCUCGUGCCGAGGGAGGUUUGAGCAACUUGGCCACUACUUUCAUCCAACUAGUUUACUGGCUCAUCUUGGUCCUGUAGCUCGCCAAAAUUCUACAUUGCAGACGAGAAAGGAGGCGGUUGAGAAAAUGAACCACCCAAAUUUUUUGUGCAGUUCAAUUGAAAUGGAGCAUCCCUGGCGUGUAGACUGAUUAAGUGCCAUAUGAAUAUACGCGUCAACCAACUUGUCUAGAACCUUUAGACUCCAUGCCAUACAGUUCACUACCAUAUCUGCCGAUAACCAAAAGGCACAAGUUUGGGACCAAAGACUGGACUGUGUUUUUCUGGGCUAUGCGCCAAGCAAUAUUUUUAGUGUUCACUCUCCUAAUACUUGGAGUUUGACAACUGGUUGACGCCGGCUGAUACUCGAAUGAAUAUAGGCACUUCUUGUCAACAUCGAUGCUUGUCUGAGUGAACUUUGGAGUACAUAGCAGCAACAUAAGUAUCUGUCCAUCUGAUCUUUUUGUGCAGUUCUACUAAAAUCACCCAAUGCAAUGAUUUGCCUGCGAGUUCAGGCUCCAAGUUACUCCUUUACAAAAUCGGCAAACAGUAGCACAAUACCAAAUUACCAAUACAUGACAAGCAUAAUAAUCAGGAUAAAGACCAGUACCAACCUGUGUGAGGUAGCAUAUCAAUUACUUUUUCCUCUGGAAGCCGAGAUAAGCGAAGCGACUGACAACAAAGGAAGAAAGCAGGCCCAGAUUAGCGACUGACAGGAAAGGACGGAAGCUGUCGAGGCAAUGAAGCACCCAAAGUUUUUGUGGAGUUCCACCAAAAUCGAGCAUCCCUGUUGGCACACAUAUUGAGAGAGUGAGAUUACUGUAAUAGUGGGACUAGUUGAUAAAACAUACACUAACAAAUAGAAGCACCCUCAUUAUCUUAAUGGGUAAAGUUAGCAACAUAGUAGUCUUGCUUAAAGAGAGGUAUUAGUUUAUUUAAUCAGUGCCAAUUAGCUCAACACUCAAAGCAUUGCCAUGUAUCAUAGGUUGCAAAACUUUAACGUGCAAAGAUAAAGGAGUUUCUCAUGAUAGUAGCACGAUACAAAUAGAGAUGACAGCAAACUAAUAUGGAUGAAGGCCUUAGGCCCGUACCAACCUGAGGAAAAAAGCUUAUUCAUGUAGUCCCAUAAGAGAUGAUAAAGCACUCACUGGAAUCACUCAAUAGUAUAUAUUUUUGUGCACUUCAAAUGUAUGGUUGAAGUCACUCUUGUUUACCAGUGCUGAGAUUAUAUCGAAAGAUUAUCAAGAACUUCCAGCAGAAUUAAAGCACAGGCUGGGAUACAGUUCAUUGUAUUGUCUUGUGUAGUUCCACUAAAAUGUAUGAUUGGCACAACAUGAUCCCUAUUUGCACAAGUAGGAACAAGGCGAAACCUUCAUUAGCUUAGUGAGAAAGGAUAGAAAUACAUUAGCAUAUUACUCUAACAGUGGCAUAAAAUUCAUGAUGGACAAUACGCACAACAUUGCCUCAUUGAACCAAUGGCAAUAAAUUGACAUGCAAAACAAUAGCACUAUUAUGUCUUGACACUAAUAAUAUUCCCUCCUUGCUCCACCACAUGAUUCACCUCCAUAGACAAACAUACACACGUACAUGAUUCAGCAUAGGGUGCUACUAAAGAUUUGUUUAACUCCGACAGGAAAAUUAGGCAGCAAUAAAUUAGUGGUACUUAAGUACUCCUAAUUAAUUAAGUGAGACAGCAGAAGUGGAAGGGCUCCCUGGAGGAUCGUCUCACAUGUAAGGUAGUCAUUGCCGGAGCCCUUGAAUGGCCUCGACUGAGGCCUCUGGCUUCAGCAAGAUCGCCUUGGCACUGUUUAUUCUUCAACUUCCUCUUCAUGCCCUGUUUCUCAUUCUCCUCACCAGUUGGUGAAACCAAGUACAUGAUUGGCCUUCUAUUUCAGAAUUGGUUUUGUUAGUGAGGGAGUACAAGUGUACUAGUAAAAAAUAGCAUUAUUUUCUCAUGGCAGUCUCAAAAUAGAGAUGAACACAUGCAUUAAAUAUCAUUCUUACCUAAAGGAAGGUUAUGGUGCCAAUAUGGAUGAUGAGGAUUGGAACACAGAUCUCCCUUUGUGCAGUUCCACCGAAAUGAACCAACUGUUCCAUUCUGACAUUCCAGUUAAACAACACAAAAGUCACUUCUUUUAAGAAUCUUGUGCAGUGCACCAAAAGGUCACAAUAGCAACCAGGUGAAAUGGAUAUCCCUGUUUACACAAAAAGCUACAGAGGAAACAGUCAGAGUCUCAAACAAUUACAGGCAAAAACAUUUGGCUAAACUUGUCAUGGCUUAUAAUAGUGGCAUGGCUUCAUUUUUACCAGGGACAUUAAAUUAAGAACAACUAAAUAUUUGGUAUAAGGGCAUGGGACAGUGGGUGCACCAGCAGUCCAGCACCAUGUACCUAAACAGGGGCAUAAAGUGGUGAUUCAUAGUUUGUUGCCUCGAGAAACAAACAUCCAAGAAACAUAUCUGGGUUGGUCCCAUUUUUGUUCACUUUAGCCACCUACUCCUAUGUGUGGAUAGCAAAUCUAGUCCUGGUCAUACCACUGUGUUCAGCGUUACCCCUAUAUUUCCCUUUUCGACCAAGAGACCGGUUGGAUGACCAGUCUGUACUACUUUCACCCCCUUCCUGUUUGUACCAAGUCCGAUGUACUACAUACUAAAUUCCCCCACCCCCACUUUAUUUCUUGUUUGAACCAAGUACAAGAUUCGACUCCAUGAAGUAGCUUUGCCUCUAACAAUAGAAGAAGAAAAUAGGUGACGUUGGACUAUCCGAUCGAGAGGGGCUGAGAGGUAGAAAAUGAUGCACAUGCAGCGACGUAGCGAGCUGGGGAAGUAGAGCUAAGGCGGUUUCGAAGGAAGAUAUACCUGAAGGUCGUCGAGAUGUGGAUAGGUGGGCGGCGGGAGGCCGGAUCCGCCCACACUAGGGCAAUGACGAAGGGAUUGGAGGACCUCCCGCGCCGGCGCUCGGCCAGAGAUAAUGGUGCGGCCGGCAGUGGGUCUCCUCCCUUGCUGUCGACGACGGCCUAAAUGUUGCCCCUCCUCCCCUUCACCGGCGGAGGGGGAUACGUCCGGAUCUGUAACCAGUGGUGAGGAUAGAAAGAUAGUGUUUUUUGAAGGGAGAAAGACAGUGUUACCACCCCUAUCUUGUUUAGAUCUGGAGAGGAUGUGAGUGUGUGAAUAGAGCAACCCUAGCACGCAAGCGCGGAAGCUCCGGCCUAUAUAUACGUAGUGGGGUAGUUUUCCUUCCCCAUCAAAACAAUCGUUUAAAAUUGUGUACUACGUGCCAAGUCGCCGUUUUUUUAGUUGUUGAUUGUUUUUUGAGAUAGCUACCCGCUUGUUCCAAGUGGUGUUACGGUGUGCCAGGUCACACUUUGUAUCGUUCAAGUCUGGUACAAGUCCCUCCAUUAAAUGAACAACCACCCCCUCAUAAAAAUUGUGAACAAGCCCACGGCUAAAAUUAUUGGAAACGUGGGUUGCCCCAACAUGCAUUAUUAUUUAUAUUUUCUACUCCCUCCGUUCCUAAAUAUAAGUCUUUUUUAUUAGCCACACCUAAGACAAGAUUUUUUUUAUUAGCAGUGAACCCCACAUGUCAUAGACACAAAAAGUGUGGCAAGAUUCCCUUAGGCAAGCCAAAGUGUGUCUAACAAUUUGAGCAACUCAAGUUAGGCAAGUGUGGCAAGUGUGGGAAAAAUAAUGUGGCAACAUGAGACAAACAUAGUCACAAUCCAAACAGCCCCGUAAUUUUUGUGACAUGCAUGAAAAUUUGGUUAGUUAAAUUUAUAGUCAAAAUUUGGCAAGGUGCAUCAAAUCAACAGAUGCAAGUAUCAAAAGGGAAGUCACGACAUGCAUGCAUGCGUUGUACUCCCUCCAUUUCCAAAUAUAAGUCUUUUUAGAGAUUGCAACAAGUGACUAAGCAAAAUAUGUCCACAUGCAUCCGUAUGUAGUAGUCCAUUUGAAAUGUGUAAAAAGACUUAUAUCGAGUGCAGUGCUUUGAUGUGUCGCGUCAACUCGUACAAGACCGAGAAGUUUGAUUACUACAACGCCCUCUCCCUUGCGGACUGAGCUCCGGUGCCUUAACUGCACUUGCCUUUAGCUGCAUGACAGGUGGGCCAACCACCCGUUGGGCCCACCUGUCAUAGACGCAAAGGUAGGAGCAGUAAGUCAAUGAAGCUGCGUCCCUCCCUCGCGCAUGAGCGUGGUAGUUGGCAGGACUAGUAGGAGCUUUCGCUGCACGCUUCUUGACGGCGGCGAACUUGCGGAUGGAGUUGACCAUCAUGUCGUCCAUGCGAGAGGCAAAGCCGGCGUCAGCGAGGGCUACGACGCCGGCGGUCGCCAGCACCGUGAGGAAACGCUGCGCGGUGCGGGGCCGCAGGCCGGCGCCUUGGAUGAUUUGGCACAGCCGACUGCCGCUCGCGACCAUCGCCUCCAUAGGUGCUUCUGGCUUCUGGUCACUUGGUCUUUUUUUUAAACGGAACACUCGAUUCCAUAACUCACACAGGUCCAGCCAAGAUGUUGGCCAUACGAACAUUUACAUCAUCUGGCAUGUCCUCUAGCCAGAACUCCUGAUCAACUUGGUGACGGGCACCGUAGGCAGCUAACUCAUGCCCGCGGGGCGAAGCUAAAAGAAACAUGGCUGAAGUUCAGUUGUGCGAAAUCAUGGAUUUCUUGGAGAGAGCAGUGUCGCGCAGAGACUAGGAGUGAGCAGUGUUGCGCAGAGACUAGGAGUAGAUGGAUUGGAGGGGUUGGGAUUUGCCGAUGGUCGGUUUGCUCAACUGCGGCCCCACCUCACAGUGAAAACGUUACUACUGGAAUAAAAAUGCCAUAUACUCCUAUACUAAUAAAACAUUAAGGCCACGAGGCGAUGCAGUGCUGGUUACAGGAGGCAAGAAGAAGAGAUGCAUCCAUCGACGACGUCCACCUCCUCGACUCAGGGCGCCGGCCCACCGAACGGCGGCUAUGUAGCAGCGGCUUUUGUGGCCAGGUCGACGUGCUUCUGAACAAUGGCGUCCAAAGAUUCCAGCCGCUGGAAGAAGGCCAACGUCUUUCUGUCCUCGCUGGCCUUGUAGUGGCCUAUGUAGACAAUUUCCUCAUAGACGUGGAUGUGCAGGUCGACGAUUUCUUGCAUGGCGAGGCGUUGCGCGACGAGCGCGGCCUCGAGGUGCACAUUCUUCGUCGCGACCUCCGGCACCUGCAGGGCCACCAGGGCUUGAAAGAGUUCGUCACCAUGGAGGCCGAUGAGGGUGGCAGGCAAUGAGGAGCCUGGGCGCGCGGGCUGGAGCAGUACGGCAAGGUCGCCCGCGCGCUUCUUGACAGCGGUGAACUUGCGGAUGGAGUUGACCAUCAUGUCAUCCAUGCGAGAGGCGAAGCCGGCGUCGGCGAGGGCUACGACUCCGGCGGUCGCCAGCACCGUCUGGAAACGUUGUGCGGUGCGGGGCCGCAGGCUGGCGCCUUGGAUGAUUUGGCACAGCCGACUGCCGCUCGCAUCCAUCGCCUCCAUAGGUGCUUCUGGCUUCUGGUCACUUGGUCUUGGAUUGGAGCGAGCAGUGUUGCGUAGAGACUAGGAGUAGAUGGAUUGGAGUGGUGGGGCGCCUUUAUAUGAGAAUCCAAACUCUGUUGCAUUCACAUUGUGCUGGCUCUAUUCCGCUUCUCCAAUUAAUUCCCUCUGCAUGUAGAGUAAUUUGAGGAUGCAUCAUUGACCAUUCAACGUCUCGGGAACCGCUACCCUCUCCCUCCUUGGCAUUCAAGCACCUAUGGAGGCGACUGCCGCUCGUGUCUAUCGCGUGUCAGGAGACGUUCCCGUCGACGACGAGGUGCCUAUGGUGACUUCGUAAACUUCAAGAUGAUAGUACUAGUAUACUCAAUAUUGUGCACCGCGACCAAGGCCGAGAGGAAAACGAGAGAACUAUGUAUUUAUUUACGGUGUAGAUUCACUCAUUUUGCUCCAUAUGUACUCCGUCUCGGUGUAGUCUAGUCACUUGUUGAAAUCUCUAGAAAGGCAAAUACUCCUUUCUGGUUUACAGGGCUAUACUAGCAAGUACUCCCUACGUCUGAAAAUACUUCUCAUCAAAAUGGAUAAAAAAGAUGUAUCUAGAACUAAUAUACAUCUAGAUACAUCCUGUUUUAUUCAUUUUGAUGACAAGUAUUUCCGGACGGAGGGAGUACUACAAUAGUGGGCUCACAUAGCAAUUUUGUCUCAUGCAAGAGCCUGGCUAUAUGCGUGCUCCAAGGUUCGCAACUGCCACGUUUGGGUUGCACUUGGUUCUUCGCCUCUUCGAGAAGACAAACAAUGAUGUUACUACUACUGCUUCUACAGUAUCAAAUCCACUGCUGCAUGUCCAUCCACCGCGAGCGGGAGGGAUAGCGUGUUGUAGUACUAUAAGCAAAAGCCUGAACUCGUCUGCGAGCCACCGCACGCAUGGGCGAGGGAGAAGGCGUGUAGUAGUAAAAUCAAGCUUCUCCUCAUUGUACGAGUUGACGCGACACAUCAUAGCACUGGCCCCACAUGGUUGCCUCUAAACUUGGCUGAAAGACCCGCAGUGUACAAUACUCCAUUUGCUGCAACCUCUAACAUUUACCCCACCACAAAUUAAAAUAUAUAUUCCUGUCUUGACCAGAUGAGCGUGCAAACUAGAAUCACCAGGAUGACAGGUAGGGCCAAAAGAUUAGUUUAAUCAAAAAAUAUAGCAUGGAGCCGACCCCAACGAUUUUAAGCUUACAGGCACGGUACACGCUAUCCUAGACUACUCUACACAUGAAAUUGCCACACGAGCGUUCGGGCUGCGCUUGGCUCUUCGCCUCUUCGGGAGUACUACUGCAGUGGAGGAGUACUACAGUAUGCUUCUGGCCAUCUGACACCAAUUGAACUGCUGCAUGUCCACCACGUACGGGAGGGAGAGCGUGUAGCGAACGAAAGCUUCUCCUAGUCCUGCCAGCCACCACACUCAUGGGCGAGGGAGGGACGCAGCUUCAUUGACUUAGUGCUCCUGCCUUUGCGUCCAUGACAGGUGGGCCCAACAGGUCGGUGGCCCACCUGUCAUGCAGCCCAAGGCAUGUGCGGUUAAGGCGAGAGGGCGUUGUAGUAAUCAAACUUCUCGGUCUUGUACGAGUUGACGCGACACAUCAAAGCACUGCACUCGAUAUAUUUCAAUAAUUUGCGUUUACCGAUGCAUUAAUUACAACGCAUGCAUGCAUGACGUGACUCUCCUUUUGAUACUUGCAUGUGUUGAUUUAAUGCACCUUGAAGUAGUAUGAAUAUGUGACGGUAAAGCUUUGUAAUGCCCCGGCCCUAAUAAAGCGAGAGAUGGCUGUGCACGAGGAGGGCGAGAUCAUGCAAACGGAACAGGACCCGACGAUGGAGCUCUCUAUGGUCUCGAUGGACCUCACCUUGCUCCACUGCCCCUUGUGCCUCCGCCCCUUGAAGCCUCCAGUGUAUGAGGUUCGAAUACACCUCAUCCGUUCGGCUGAUCGAGCAAGGUGCAGGUUUCUUGAUUGAUGUGUUGUUCGAUUGAUUUGUGCAGUGCAAGGGAGGGCACCUGGCUUGCGCGGACUGCCGCGUCGAGUGCCCCGGGAACCAGCGGCAGUGCCAGAAGUGCGAGCGCGGCGGCGGCUUCGAUGUGCGGAACACAGCGGUGGACGCCGUCCUCUCCUCGGUGAGGGUGGAGUGCCUGCACGAAGGCUGUGGGCUCUACGUCACUUACCACAAGCUCGCCGAUCACCAAAGCAUGUGUCCGCUCGCGCCCUGCAAAUGCCCCGUGCCCGUCUGUGGCUACGAAGGCCCGCCGCCGGUGCUCUCCCACCACAUCAGCUCCGUGCAUCCCAUGCCCGUGCACAUGAUCCAGUACGGCAAGGCACUCCAGCUGCAAGUGCCACUGCCGGAGCCACGGCUCUUGCUGUUCGCGGAGGAGGACGGUCGCGCGUUUUUCUUGGUCGGCGGCGUGCUCGACAUCGGCGCGCCUAUCGCCGUGUCGGUCGUCUGCAUCAGAGUGGGGGCGGUCCCACUGCCACACUACGUGGCCAAGCUGUGGGCGAACGGCCCGCCGGGGGAGCCCAAAGGCAGGACCGAUGCCGUCAAGGUGGAAAUGGAGGUGACAAGAAGCAGGGAUCCCGGCGACGUCGCUGUGCAGGAGCUGACCUUCUUCACAGUUCCACCCAAGCUGCUGGCCGGGGCUAAGCUGGUGUCCCUCCACAUUCAGAUUGACAAGCUCACGUCCUAAAUGAUUCUGCAGUGCCUUCUGUUUAUCUUAGUAAUAUGCUAAUAUAGGGGUUAGCUCGGUCUACUUUAGCUUAAGAGAUGGUGGGUUUUGGUGGCGAUGCAGCAAUUACCUCGACAUCAGAUCAGCAGUGAAAGUAAUUUCGAACAGUCGAAUGGAUAUUUUGUGUCUGUUGGAUAUAAAGAUCCUUUGGGUAAGAAGUAACAGCUUAUAUGCUUUUUUUUCGAAACGGAACAACGAUACUAGUAUAAUCUUUGUUGACAUGCACUAAUAUUUUCGAAACGGACGUCGGGCUGUAGCUAGAAGGGCGGUUGGGACGCGGCAUCGGCCCAUACCGCUGUGACCCCCGAUUGGGAUGCACCGACUGUGGAUUUUCUCCCUCGCCGAUGUCGACCGCGUCUACGCAGAACAUUGUUCCCUUCCCCCAACUGCGGGACCAAGCCGGAUAUGUGACCAGCGGUGUGGCCACCGUCAUUUUAUGCUUGUGAAGAGAGCAACCCAAGCAAGCAGACUUGUAGCUUAGGCUCCUGCUAGUGUAUGUAUAGUGGUUUUCUUUUUCUCUCCAUAUCAACCAUUUUAUAUUGCGUACGUGUCACUGAAGAGUGAAAUGAUGGUUGCUUCUUCCGACUAACUUACUGUGUGAUUUGACUGCUCCUUUAGUGGCCCCUAGACGUACUCCCCCUACGUGUAUGCAACAGUCACACGUACACAUUAACGCAAAAACGCGCGCGACGCCCUAAUGCAUGCAUGUCCAAGCACACGACAGAACACACACGGUCACGCUCAAGUGCUCAACCUACACGUGCAUGCACACACAUACUCAGCCAGGGUGAGCUAGUGACCGUAUAAACACCAGAAAAUGUAUAUAUUGAGCGCAAUGAGCGUAUUAUGAAGUCCACUGACCGUAUUUUUACAAAUAUACAGCGACAGACAAUGUAUUUAUUUCGUUUGAAAUUAAGCCAUAUUAACCGGAGAGGAGGCAGUAUGGACUAGCAUUACUUUGCUGUGUCCCGUCAACUUGCUGAACGAGGAGAAGCUUGCAGGAUGGGAGAAGCUUGCGCGUAGUGGCUCGCAGGAUAAGGAGAAACUUUUGACUAAUGCAAGCUGUCCUUCGCUCAGGCGGUGGACGUGCAACAGUUAAUUUGGUGUCAGAUUGCCAGAAGCAUACACUAUACUAGUACUAUUAUUGUUGCACUUCCCGAAGAGGCGAACAACCAAGCGCAAAGUUUACUAGUACUACUACUAUAGUCUAUAGAGGUACUAUACUAGUACUAGGAACCGGAUGGAGGAGCGUCUGCACUCUUAUUAUAUUUUUAGAAUGUGAUAAAGCAAUCUUCAACACAUUUGGUUCUCUUCGAGGGUUCUCGCAUGUGAUAAUGGAAGUUGAUUGCAUGGAACACUCGCCACAAUUCUCGCUUAAUUCUGGCUCAUAUCCUGUUACAAAUAGGAGCGCUCGGUAAUAUUGUUGGAAAUAUGCCCUAGAGGCAAUAAUAAAAUGGUUAUUAUUAUAUUUCCUUGUUCAUGGUAAUUGUCUAUUGUUCAUGCUAUAAUUGUGUUAUCCGGAAAUCGUAAUACAUGUGUGAAUACAUAGACCACAACAUGUCCCUAGUGAGCCUCUAGUUGACUAGAUCGUUGAUCAACAGAUAGUCAUGGUUUCCUGACUAUGGACAUUGGAUGUCAUUGAUAACGGGAUCACAUCAUUAGGAGAAUGAUGUGAUGGACAAGACCCAAUCCUAAGCAUAGCACAAGAUCGUGUAGUUCGUUUGCUAGAGCUUUUCCAAAUGUCAAGUAUCAUUUCCUUAGACCAUGAGAUUGUGCAACUCCCGGAUACCAUAGGAGUGCUUUGGGUGUGCCAAACGUCACAACGUAACUGGGUGGCUAUAAAGGUGCACUACGGGUAUCUCCGAAAGUGUCUGUUGGGUUGGCACGAAUCGAGACUGGGAUUUGUCACUCCGUAUGAUGGAGAGGUAUCUCUGGGCCCACUCGGUAAUGCAUCAUCAUAAUGAGCUCAAUGUGACCAAGUGUUUGGUCACGGGAUCAUGCAUUACGGUACGAGUAAAGUGACUUGCCGGUAACGAGAUUGAACAAGGUAUUGGGAUACCGACGAUCGAAUCUCGGGCAAGUAACGUACCGAUUGACAAAGGGAAUUAUAUACGGGAUUGAUUGAAUCCUCGACAUCGUGGUUCAUCCGAUGAGAUCAUCGUGGAACAUGUGGGAGCCAACAUGGGUAUCCAGAUCCCGCUGUUGGUUAUUGACCGGAGAGUCGUCUCGGUCAUGUCUGCAUGUCUCCCGAACCCGUAGGGUCUACACACUUAAGGUUCGGUGACACUAGAGUUGUAGAGAUAUUAGUAUGCGGUUAACCGAAAGUUAUUCGGAGUCCCGGAUGAGAUCCCGGACGUCACGAGGAGUUCCGGAAUGGUCCGGAGGUAAAGAUUUAUAUAUGGGAAGUCCUAUUUUUGGCCACCGGAAAAUGUUCGGGAUUUUUCGGUAUUGUACCGGGAAGGUUCUAGAAGGUUCCGAAGUGGGGCCCACCUGCAUGGGGGGACCCACAUGAACGUGGGUAGUGGGGGCAAGGCCCCACACCCCUGGUCAAGGCGCACCAAGAUCCCACCUUAGAAGGAAUAAGAUCAUAUCCCGAAGGGAUAAGAUCAAGAUCCCUAAAAAGGGGGGAUAACAAUCGGUGGGGAAGGGAAAUGAUGGGAUUUCUUUCCCCCACCUUUGCCAACGCCCCAAUGGACUUGGAGGGCAAGAAACCAGCCCCUCCACCCCUAUAUAUAGUGGGGAGGCGCAUGGGAGCAGCACCCCAAGCCCUGGCGCCUCCCUCCCUCCAAUGACACCUCUUCCUCCCCGCUUGCGCUUGGCGAAGCCCUGCCGGGAUCCCGCUACUUCCACCACCACGCCGUCGUGCUGUUGGAUCUCCAUCAACUUCUCCUCCCCCCUUGCUGGAUCAAGAAGGAGGAGACGUCCCCGCUCCGUACGUGUGUUGAACGCGGAGGUGCCGUCCGUUCGGCGCUAGGAUCAUCGGUGAUUUGGAUCACGACAAGUACGACUCCAUCAACCCCGUUCUCUUGAACGCUUCCGCGCGCGAUCUACAAGGGUAUGUAGAUGCACUCCCCUCUCUCUCGUUGCUAGAUGACUCCAUAGAUUGAUCUUGGUGAUACGUAGAAAAUUUUAAAUUUCUGCUACGAUCCCCAACAAAUAUUUCCUCUUUUUUUUGUUAUUCAGCAUGUAAACAGGUCAGCAAACCUUGCGGCGCAUCUUUGUGCGAACCGUGCUUGCUGCACUUUGAAUUUGCCGAGAGCUGGCUUGAUGAAACACCUCGCUUCCUACUUCUUUUUUUUUGCGGGGUACCUCUCUUCCUAGUGACCAGUGUCUUGGCUGAUCGUCCUAAGAAUGCUUAUAUAUGAAUAAAGCUCUCUCAUUUACCCGCAAAAAAGAUUAAGCCAUAUUAACCGGAAAGGAGGGAGUAUGGACUAGCACUACUUGUUGGUGUGUCCCGUCAACUCACGGAAUGAGGAGAAGCUUGCAGGACAAGGUGAAGCUCGCUUACGCCUUUUGACUAAUGCAACGUACCCUCGCCCAGGCGGUGGACAUGCAUCAGUUCAUUCGGUGUCAGAUUGCCAGAGGCAUACACUGUAGUACCGAACAUGCGGAGUACCAUCAUUGUUCGACUUCACGAAGAGGCGAAGAGCCAAGCGCAAGGUUUAGUAGUACGAGUAGUACUACUACUGGAACCGCAUGGUGGAGCCUCUGUACUCUUAUUUUUCUCAAUCUUUGAUAAAGUACACAUUUAUUCCGGAGAAGGGCGAAAAACGGCAGUCCAACAUGUAAUGAUGAUAUCGAUCAACCAUGCUCGAAUAUAUCUUGGCCUCCGUGCGAGCCCGUCUGUGUGUUCUCGCUCCUCGUCUCUCUCAAGGAACGGCGGGUUGGCCAUUUUACCGUCAAUUGAGAUCGGUUUGCUCACACACCGGUCCCACAUGUCAGUGAUAUUCCAAGAGGAGGUGCGUUGACCGACUGGCCAUACGCGUACUUGGUUUUGCACCUUCAUACUACUCCUCCCUCCGUCACAGUUUACAGGGCGCGCUUCAUUAUGAUGCAUUUCUCUCAAUGCAUUUCCACCACCAGAGAGACUUUAGACGCGUUUGGUUUAAUGCUCAAUUAAUUAGGGCGUGGUAACCGCAAUUUGCUCUCGAUGUAGUACUACGGAGUGGAGUAAGUGCAUGCAUAUGUGUGCCCGGGAUGGAAGCACUGCAUGCAUGUGUGUACCCAAAGAUGUGCUACAUGGGAUGACAGUGGGCCCAGUUGACCGGGUCAACUGCCCAGUCAGCAGAGGCUGACUAGUGGGGCCAGGGGGCUGACUCAGCAGUCAAUAGUUGAACAGUUGACUAGUCAACAGGGUCAACACGGACCCACCUUUCAUGGACUAGGACUAGCCCAACCAGCAUUUGACUGGGUCAACUGGGCCUAGUAGGUCCCAGCUGUGGUGACUGUUAGCUUAACCCGUGGGUUAAUUAAUUUAACUAGUUAAUUACGGGGUGGGGUCGACGUGUCUGUGACAAUAACUAAUCCAGAGUUUAGUUAAUUUAAUUAAUCACUACAGGAAAGGGGCCCGCGUGUCAAUGGGUGUUUAGGGGUGGCUGUUAGUGGCUAAUCCCGUGGGGUCCACCUGUCGGUGACCCACACCGGAGUUUAACGCGGCGGCACGUGCCGAUGGUCUUCGGCGACUAACAGAAGUGGCAGAGGUUCUUAGGGAUUUGCCCACAGGCGACCGUUCGAGCCGCGGCAGGGCUCUACGGCGAGCUGGUGGUGAGGCAUCUCCAAUUCAGUCAAACAUGACAACAAGAUCCAGUUAACUAGGCCCAGCAACGAAAUUUGCUACAAUUCCAGCAAACCAUAGUUCACUUAUCCGAAUCCCUAGAAUUCCAGCAACCGCAUUUGCUAGUGGAGAAAGGAAGGCAGCUCACCUAGGGGCUCGACCACCACCGUGAGGGCGCGGGCGACAGCUGUUGCCGUUGUCGCUGGCGACGAUGAGAUACUUUGAAAUGAAUAUGAUAUUGCCACAACAAUCUUCAUCUCCUCCUCGCAAAGGGCGCCCCCUGCCAUACCGGCCAACUACGCUUCAUGCUCUAUCCACCACGCCUUGUCCUCACCACUACCUCGCCGAUGGAUUCGGAGCCGCCACCGCCGCCAUGCCCAAAAGAGAGGAGAGGGAGAGGAGGAACUCGAGGGAGAGAAAGCGAGGGAGGAGAGUGACGGAGGAAGUGCUCGGGUUGGGCCGGCCCAGUCGCUUCGGAUAGAGCCAUUAACGGCGCGCCGUCGACGCACUCGGACCGCGAGGGAUCGGCCACGUCAAAACAUGCUCAAAAAAUUGCUCAAUGUUUUUGUCAUUGUCAGAUUUUCGGUUCGGUGCGAAAUGUCACAAUCGUAACGUGAUAGUUUCCGCUAAUCAUGACACGAUUGUGGUGCUUCUCGGCCUAAACCAUUUUCUUCUGCGGCUCAAACUCCCAGGUCACGCAUGACGCAAACCAAAUGUGGACGUCGGCCGUCCAAGUCCAAUAACCGAUUUGAGCCGAACGAUUGAAAAAUCCAACGGCUAAUACUGGUAGUAAAGUGUGGCCCGAAUCUUCUAGUGUUUUCUGGGCCUGGACUAAUUUCUCCUCAGGCCCAACAGCUCCACCGGGUCACGCAUGACGCAGACCCAAUAUGGACAGUCCAAGUCCAAUAGCACCACCUCCACGCGGAAACCCCAGCCAGGACAGCAACCCAUUCGCAAUCCCCACCUCUAUAUAAGCGGCCCCGUCGAUCCACACCAAACCCUAGCCGCAGCUCUUCCGUCUCCUCCCGCCGCCGCCGCAGCCGCCGCCUGCCUCGAGCCGCCGUCGCCAUGGGGAGAAGUAAGCAAGCGCUUUACCCUCUCCCUCUGUAUGUUACUCUAGUCUAGCGUUCAUCUGGCUGGUAGCUAUGGUUCGGGCAAUCGUUUGAAUUGGCGCGGUUGCGUGUGAAUCUGGCCUAGAUCCGUCGUAGCCGCGCGGAACCUGUGAUAUGUGUUGCUCCCGUUGUUUAUUUAGUUUCUGUCUGGAUGAUUUGGGAGAACAAAUUCAUGCCCGUAGCUGUUUUCUUGUGGGGAUUCGAAAGAACAUUUGAGUAGUACAAGCUUCGGGUUCAUCCUCUGUUCGGUUCAUAUAAUGGUGCCAGAAAAAUGCUCUAGGCAUCUCAGGUGUUAAUAUUUCCUGUGCUCUUCAUGUAGUAGUUUGCUAGUAAAUGAAGAGAUGUAUGCUCUUGCUUGAAAGUUAUUCUAAUCACUCUUAACACUGCUGUUGUUGGUAUGGUUGUAUGGUCAAUGAUACUCCAUGAAUGUGAAUGAGUAGUUGCUGUGGUUACAAUGGUAUGCGUUCCCUGUUAAUAAGUCGUUCAACCCGCCAACUGCUCAUUCUGAAUCAUGGUAGUUUGUAAUCUCUUGUUUGCCUGUCAAUGGUAACCUAUGUUAAAUUGAGUCUGACUCUACAUGUUACUCAUAUCUAGUGUUGAAUGUGGUGCAAAUUAAAAUGGUUCAUUCUCAGUACCUGGAAUGAUGCACUGUCUGAACUGAGUUGCACAUUCUUUUCAAUGUUAACUGCAUUUAGUUAUUUUCUUUGCAUGUUUGCUGCUUUUAGUUGUUUUGUUCUGCGAAUGACAAAAUUCUCUGGUCAGGACCUGCGAGGUGCUAUCGGCAGAUCAAGAACAAGCCGUACCCCAAGUCAAGGUACUGCCGUGGUGUGCCUGACCCUAAGAUCAGGAUCUAUGAUGUUGGCAUGAAGAAGAAGGGUGUCGACGAGUUCUCUCACUGUGUUCACCUUGUCUCAUGGGAGAAGGAGAAUGUGUCCAGUGAGGCUCUUGAGGCUGCCCGUAUUGCUUGCAAUAAGUACAUGACCAAGCAUGCAGGAAAGGAUGCCUUCCACCUCAGGGUCAGGGUUCACCCGUUCCAUGUGCUCCGUAUCAACAAGAUGCUUUCGUGUGCCGGGGCUGAUAGGCUCCAGACUGGUAUGAGGGGUGCUUUUGGGAAGCCGCAGGGAGUCUGUGCCCGUGUUGCCAUUGGGCAGGUCCUCCUUUCUGUGCGGUGCAAGCCCAACAAUGCCAUCCAUGCCACUGAGGCCCUUCGUCGUGCCAAGUUCAAGUUCCCUGGCCGCCAAAAGAUCAUUGAGAGCAGGAAGUGGUAAGCACUGAAGAUUGUUUAAUGUGCUGAGAUGAUAUGAUAUGCUUGUUUAAAUUUCUGUGCGCCCAUAUCUCUAAUUUGUGCUUCUUCUCUCAGGGGCUUCACCAAGUUCAACCGCAACGACUACCUCAAGUUCAAGAGUGAGGGCAGGAUCUUGCCUGAUGGAGUCAACGCUAAGGUAAAUAUACUUGAUGCUGGGCAAUUGUUUUGUCGAUGUUCUUCUUUAUCCUGCCUUAGUAAACCGUUGUCCCUGCAUCAACUAAUUGUUCAUGUUUCUUGCUUUGCAGCUGCUCGGAUGCCAUGGCCGCCUUGCGAACCGUGCCCCUGGACAAGCUUUCCUGUCUGCCGCAUAAUCUAGCAGAAGAAGUCUAUCCGUUCUAUCAGAACUUAUUUUACUGUGUGGAACUUAGAUUCCAAGUGCCUGUGGUGCUAUGUUAUUUUGUCUGAAUGUUGUGUCGAACCUUGUUAUGGAAGAUAUUAUCUAUUUUGUGAUGAUGGUACUAAUAUGAACCGCCUGUUGAAUCAUUGCCGCUUGAAUUCGUUUGUCAAUGUAUUUUGCUGUGGUGGAUGCUUCAUUUUAUGAAGCUACAUCAGGAAAAUGUUAUACGUUCUUUGAAACAAGCAAAAUUCUGGCCCAGUAAUGUUUUUGAAGUACCAGUAUACAAUUUCCGGAUGUCUAAUUGGUUAGUGUAUCGUGUGCUGGUCAAUUUUGCUGGCGUUUAGGAGAGUAUUACACAAUUUCCGGACGCCUAGUUCGUUCAGUUGGUUGGUGUUUCGUCUGCCGGUGUCUUUGAUGCAUCCGAACUGCGUUUCAUUUUCUCUUUUUUAUAAAAUAUAAAAUUCAUGUCACUUUGCCUUCCUUUUUCCCCUGUAGUUGAUUCUUUUUUCAUCCGUGCCAAAUUGAAUAGCCUGCAGUUGAUGGUUCGAAAUCCCUAGAAUUACCAGCGGUAGGGUGAUCUGAAUUUGGGAACACAAUUGACCAACAUGCUAUCCCAGGGAUAGCAACGUUGGGAUCGGUCUGUUGGAGCCUUUGACGCCGACGAAUCCCUUCGCCCACAAGCGAAAUACCAAUAGACGACCAUCGAAAGCAAGGGGGUAGACCCGGCGAGACGAACAAAAUCCGAACGCAGGAGCAUCGCCCACAGGAACGUUCCAUCGAUCGAUCGAAUUCUCAUUCUGUUGCCCACAAAAUCCAAACGCAAGAGCGACGAGGACAUAAACCCCCUUCCUUCCUUCCUUCUUCCCCUUUCCCCCCUCGGCUGCGAGCGCGGCUCCACGCCUCCCCUCCACCCCCACCCCACCGCACCGCAGCCGGUGACCGGGUCGCGCCAUCGCACGGCGACGCCAGCCCGCCCCGAUGGACCCGCCGCCCCCGCCUCCGCCGCAGCCGGCGCACGGGGGCUACGCCCAGCGCUUCUCCCCCGCCGGCCUCAUCCACGCGCCGCUCUCCGCGCUGCUCGAGUACUCCUCGGGCGUCCUGCGGGCCCAGGCCGGCGGGGGCGGCGGCGGCGGCGGGCCCCAGCGGGGGGAGCCAUCCGCGGGGGCCGACGGGGAGGUGUCGAUUCGGAUCGCCGGGCCCGACGACGCGCCCGGCGCCGGCGCGGGGGACGCGGGAGGAGGGCAGCAGCCCGCGGACGAGGAGGCCCCGGCGGCGCGGGGGGACGAGGCCGGCGCGGGCGGCGGGAGCGGGAGGGGGGACUCGCCGUACCAGGGCUACGACGUGCAGCGCCUGGCCAGGUGGGUGGAGCACGCGCUGCCCUUCUCCCUGCUCCUGCUCGGCGUCUUCAUCCGCCAGCACCUGCAAGGUACGCGAAUCCGCGUGCACCACCUACCCCUUCUCCAUCUCUAUGUAGCGUGAGGGUUUGCCGGCCUCACCAGGCGCUAUACGCGUGAAUUGUGAUGCGAGUUUGGUUCGAUCCAUUCCGUUGUGCGCCUGCUUCACGGCGUGAAAAAGUCGCCGGUCAGAAGAUGAUGGCGAGUUCCUCAUUCCAAUUGAGUUUAUAUUGUGUAGGUUUCUUCGUCAUGAUCUGGAUUGCCGCAGUCAUGUUCAAGUCCAAUGAUAUCUUGCGCAAGCAGACCGCUCUCAAGGUUUGUUUGUGCUUCAUAAUAAAUUGUCUUAUCAACGUGCUUGUUCUGCUUCUAGAGGUUAAUUAAUUGUUCUGGCAAGCAGACUGCUCUCAAGGGCUUGUGCUUAUCUUGUGCAUCAACUUUCUUGUUCUGGUUCUAGUGUCGAGGUUAAUUGGUAUGCUUCUAGAGGUUUGUUUGGAUGUCAUAUUGUCGAUCAUGUUAGUUUUGCACAGCAACUGGCAGCAGAAAUGUGAAUAUCUUCUCGCCAUAUGUAACGUCAUGAUGCACAGCUGCUCUGCAAACCCAGUGAAUAAAUGCAAACCCUUCUGCUGCUUUCAGCGGCACGGCUACAUUGGGUUUGGGUCAGGAUGUAAGUAGAUAAAUUGCGAGCUGGCCACGAGCCUUUAUGUGGGCAUAUGCGUCUGCCCAUGUAACAUUUGGCAACGCCGUGUCCGCCAAAAAUGCACAUCACUUAUCAUUUGAUAUGAAAAGAAAUAUGAAGGGUUUGGUUGUCCUUUCAUGUGUUGGGAAAUGAAUGUGUACAGCUAAGGGCAAUUGAUAACGCCAACGGAUGUCUAAGCCUAUAAGACGAUCUAUUCCAACUCCGAGAAUAAUCCACAAUGACCAUGCCUCCUUACGGUUACUUGAGUAGGUAUUAUCAAAAUGGCACACAAAGAACAACACAUAGAUGUGUAAUUGGUGCCUCACUGAACUGUUGAAGCCUCUUUGGCCUGACUUGCGCUCAUGCUCGGGCGCCAGGAAAGGUGACGCUCUUAAUUAGGCAUAGGAGAGUCGGGGCUUAGCUGUUGCUGAUGAAACCAAUUGCUGGUGUUUGUGGGCUGAGUGCCGCUAAAGCUGUGCGGUGAGCCUCAUAGCAAUUUCAUGCGUCAUUGAGGAAGCAAGCUGUGUGCCAAGAGGUCGUGGGUUGAUGCGACCUCUCUGCAUUGCACUGUGCAGGUGUAAGGCUUGCCUUGUAUAAUCCUUCCCCAGACCCUACCUGGCGUGGGAGCUUCUAGCACUGGGUCUGUCUUUUCUAUUGAGGAAGCGGGCUGGCAGACUGCUGCAGCCAUAUACAUCCUUAACAAUUGGGCCAGGGAUAACUCCAUUUGAUUGUCAAAUUGCCUAGAUAACUCCAUUUGAUUGUCCUCAUAGUGAUCUCACAUGCUUAGAAGAGCUGGAAACACUGUAGAUAUUUUGGUAUGGAUGUGUGCUCUAGAAUGUAACUAUCAUGUCGUUUCCUCUUUAAGUUAAUGCGGUCAACAUCAAUUAAACAAGAUCUUCAGCUGAUCUGUCACUUGUAUUUAUUUUUCUUAUUUCAGGGGGAGAGGAAAAUGCCAAUGCUUAUCGGGAUUGUAACAGUAUUCACCAUUCACGUGUUUGGAGUCUACUGGUGGUACAGGAAUGAUGACCUUGUUAGACCUUUGGUGAUGCUUCCUCCAAAAGAAAUACCACCAUUCUGGCAUGCUAUAUUUUUCAUCGCUGUGAACGGUACUCUCUUUUCCCUCACACAGCAGGAUUUCUCUGUUUGGGGCCUCUCUGCUUCAAAUUAUUCCAUAUGAUUGUAAUAUGAGACCUUGAAAAACUUCUAUGGUUUUCUAUGAUGCACUCAAGACAUCCUUUCGAUCAUGUUGUUUCAAGAGAGGGCAUGACAUUGCAACCCAAUGGUUUUCCUAUUUAAGAGUUUUUUAGGUCCUGUGAACCGAUGAGGCCCUUGGUCAUUUCAUGAACUAGGCUCAGUCAGUAACUCAUUUGUGGAAAAACUUGAUGAUGUGUGUAUCUGUGUGUUCUGUUUUGUUUUGAAGCGGAUAACUUUGCCCUGCGUUUCACUUGGAAAUAACUUAUGUUUGUUGAAUAGUAGGAAUUUAUGCACCAUUGCUAUCUGUCCAUAACUCUUAAACUAGCACUGCGCUCUUUAAAAUUUCUAAUCAGGCUGACUGCUGUUUUGUGCUCCACAGAUACAAUGGUCCGGCAAGCUGCUAUGGUUGUCAAGUGUGUGCUGCUCAUAUACUACAAAAACAGCAAAGGUCGUCACUAUCGUAGACAGGUAAUCUGCUGUACAUUAUCAUUGUUCAGCUAAUUAUGUAAAUUUUACUAGUUUCGAUGGAGAGAUGUACAGCCAAGCUUUUCUCGUUGUAACUCAACUUUCUCUUUAGGGUCAAAUGUUGACAGUUGUGGAAUAUUCCCUUCUUCUGUACCGUGCGUUGUUGCCGGCUCCUGUGUGGUAUCGUUUUUUCCUGAACAAGGAAUAUGGAAGUCUUUUUUCAUCUUUAACAACUGGAUUGUACCUUACUUUCAAGGUGGCAUCAAUGGUGGAAAAGGUACUUCUAGUUCCCUUGUUCAUUUCUUAACCGAUUCUGGGUUUAUAAUAGCUGACAUUACUGCUGCUUUCUACCAGGUUCGUUCACUUUUGGCUUCAGUGAAUGCGCUGUCUCAUAAGGACUUGCAUUAUGGUUCACAUGCAACAACUGAGCAGGUAAUGCAGUGUUAGGCUUCUAGGCGCAUGAGUGAAAUGUGUUGGUGGCAUAUGCAUUCUUGGUUUAUAUCUCUGGAGCUUCUAGCUAAGAAAGUCUGCAUUCAUUUCACUAUAUGGUAUGCAGGUUCUUGCUGCUGGAGAUCUGUGUGCUAUAUGCCAAGAAAAGAUGCAUACUCCCAUCCUCCUGCAGUGUAAACAUAUCUUCUGCGAAGACUGUGCCUCUGAAUGGUAUAUCCCAUACACCUUUGUUGUCUGGUUCUUGAUGCUUUGCUGGCAUCUACUCUAACAGUUACCAAAUUGGAACUUCUCAUCGCUUGCCGAAUGAUGGCAGGUUGGAGCGGGAGCGGACAUGCCCGUUAUGCAGGGCGCUGGUGAAGCCAGGGGACAUCCGGUCAUUCAGCGACGGUUCAACGACCCUCUUCUUUCAGCUCUUCUAACAAGAAACAAGAAGCGCUAACCUUCGGCCUGCAGAUGUUGGAUCGCCCCCUGUUACUCUCCAUCAGCCUGCCGUGUGCUGAGACUUAUUCCAGUCCAGGUCCUUUUCCGCCACUUCGUGACAAGUAGUAGGUGCCGUGGGUGUGCAUAUUACCCUGUAUAGGUCCUUGCGGGAUUCUCCAUCAGAAAAAAGAGGAAUGUUAUGAUGAAAUAACUGAAUCUAUAGAGGUGAAUUUCCAUUAGCAUGUGGCUGGGUGGGUGCCGCCACAUCUGCAAAAUUCAGAAUUGACCUUAUACAAGAUCACAAAUGUUAACUCUUGACUCCUGAGCCAACGUAGCUUGUUGCUUGUAAAAUGAGAUGAACAUAUCCCUUUAUUUCCUGCUUGUGUCACAUGAGUCGCAUCAUCAUUCUUGCCACCUAAAAUAUGUCUUCUAGUAAUUUCGGCGAAGGAGUUGGGUCUGAUUUGAUAUAGUGAGGUAUGUUUUGCUUGCUCCAGAUUUAGCCAAUAUUGGCACCGAAAAUGAACCAAAGUAGGCAAGAUGGCAUGAACCCGACGGGCAAGGCAAAAGCCUGUUUGUCAUAACCAGAAGGUUGGUAGAAUUGAUUUUGGGUAGCAGGCAAACAUACCCUAGACCCCGACAGCACUAAUGUGUGUAAUAUUAGUUGUGUGCUGUUGAAUAGUUAUUCUGGGCGUGGACGUUAUUAUGUCGACAUCACAGGAAGGUGCACAAGAAUAUCCUGUUAUGCCGGAGCAGAGGGCAAGGGGAGAACAACCUGCCCGGACGCCCGAACGUUGCCUGAACUGACUGAAAGAGAUGAGCUCUAUAGUAGAAGUUGAUGUUAUUUUUUAGGAAAGACGGUCAAUUUAUAUCUAAUGAUCAUCAAGGAAAACAAUAUAGCUAGUACAAUGGAUAGACAAUAAGUCAUAAAACAACCAGCAAAUAAUAAAAUUACAACCAAACCAUGCUGAUUGUCUUCUUCCUUUGAUUGUAUGCUGUCUGUCGAAGCUUAAAAAAUUGUACCGAAUUGACAGUAAGAGAAAUGUACACCCUCUUAAUACCGGCCUUUGAAGGAGAAACCGAACCAUGCCAUAGUAACAAAUCAAAAGAGGAGGUUGAAAUCACUGCACCAAGAGCCAAGCAACUACUUCCCUUGAUUGAACCAGCACUUUUCGGAUUCUCGUUUGGAUAGGUACCUAUCUGAUCGCGACUUUGAUUUCACAUAUUGAAUAUGAAGACAACCACAAAAUCUGGCAACGUCUGCCCUUGCAAGCCCUUCGUCGGCGUCUGAUCGACUAUCGUCAAGGUAGGCAGAGCCCGGAGAGACCUUAUUCCAAUGCACCAUCGCCGCCACCACCUCGUCAGUACCGCUAGGGAAACAAAAUCUAAGGGAAACAAGGGCAUAGCGAUGGCCCCCCACUCCUCUAAUUGCCAACGAGAUCACCGGACAAGAGAGGUGAGGUGAGAGCGCGGCCAGUGGCGGAGCUUGGAAGAAAAAGCUGGGCGGGCCAGAUUAAUGCUAAAAAAAUCUUCGCUCAAUGUGAUUGGCCUUGCCAUGGAUAGCUACGUUGCAAUUUGUAAAAUGUAAAGAAAACUUGCCGGCCAGAUCACAUUUGCUGUCUUUCAGUCUUGCAGACUUGUAAUUGCAGGGAAAUGGAGAUGCAGUGUUGGAUUGCUAGUUCGCGUUGCCUUCAUACUUUGGUCGCCGGCUGGCCGCUGCUCCUAGCUGUUGGACCUCUAGUGACUGGCGAUCUGGCCGGCGAUAUGGUGAGUCGAGGCAGGGAGUUGUCUAUGCGAGUAACGCCGGCUGCUCCUGCUGAUUGCUGCGCGCCGCCGUGCGAGACCUUUGAGGCUGAUCGAUUGCUAGUGGAGUGGACUGGUGGAAUUCUGGUGGACUGGACUCUAAAGCACGAAGAAACUGCAAAAUCCUGGGCGGGCCAUGGCCCAGUCUGGCCCCAACUAAGCUCCGCCCCUGAGCGCGGCUAUGGUUAGGAAUGAAAGAACGAGGGUCGUGGACUAAAAAAUUCUCUAGGAUUUCCAACCCACUCCAUAUAGAAUCUCUGUAGAAAACACACCAACGGCUUUGGCUAAGGGCAUGUACAUUAGUGUUGAAACACGUUGUCCAUAAUAACUCUCCACAUCGCCUAUAGACAUCAUUAGAAACACACCCUACGAUAGUCUGACUCUUUGCUACCCACAAGGCCCUAAAAUCACAAAAUUAUGGAAUUGGUGGGUUUGGAACGGAUCCUCGUGUAGGCCCUCGUGUCACUCACCAGGGGCAACUCGGGCAAUGACCUAGCCUAGCCGCCACCGCCACCCUUCUCCUCCUUCCCGCUCCUCGUCGUUACUAGAGAGAGCCGGCGGGCUGUUGGGGAACGUUGCAUGAAAAACAAAAAAAAUUCUACGCACACGCAAGAUCUAUCCAUGGAAAUGCAUAGCAACGAGACGGGAGAGUGUGUCUACGUACCCUCGUAGACCGUAAGCGAAAGCAUUUAAUAACGCGGUUGAUGUAGUCGAACUUCUUUGCGAUCCAACCGAUCAAGUACCGAACGUACGGCACCUCCGCGUUCAGCACACGUUCAGCUCGGUGACGUCCUCGCCUUCUUGAUCCAGCAAGACGGAUGAGGUAGUGGAUGAGUUCCGGCAGCACGACGACGCGGUGACGGUGGUGGUGAUGCUAUCUGAAAGUGCAACUAAUCCCCGGGUGGUUUUGGUAAUUCAUAACUCAUUGAACUAAUAUCCAUUCAAGUUAAAUAUUUCAGAAAGUUCAAUAAUAUUUCAGAAAGUUCAAUGAUUGGCAUGGCAUGGACUAGAGAUGUGGACCCCUCAAAAUGCUAAGGACAAAGAUUGGCAAAAGCUCAAGAUUCUUCAUUUCUAUUUUAGUGAUCCAAGAUCACACUGAGUCCAUAGGAAAGCCAAUACUAUUGAAAGGGGAUGCUGUGUUGCUUAAUGGUCUAGUUGCUCAAAGUGCUUAGUGAUAUUGCUCUAAAAGCCCUCAACCACUUUCUCAUUUCCAAAUAUGUCCAAAACCCAAAGUCAAACUCGGCCCACCGAACCAUUCUAUCCGGCGCCACCUAGUUCAGUUGAUAUAGCCACUGCCAGAAACCCUAGACAAUUCAGUCACACCGAUACGGAUCUCGGUCUCACCGAGAUGGCCUUGCAAACUCUCUGUUGCCCAUUGCAACUAUUUCGAUCUCACCGAAAUGUGUGAUCGGUCCCACCGAGUUUGUUUGACAUCCUCUCUAUUGCCUUAUUGCUUCACUUUGGUCUAACCAAGUUGAUGCAAUCGGUGCCACCGAGUUGAUGUUUGCCCUAAGCCCUAGCACAUCGGUCCCACCGAGUUAUUCUCACCGGUCCCACCAAGAUUCCUAACGUUCAGAUUUUGAACUAAAUUGGUCUCACCGAGUUCUUCUAUUCGGUCUGACCGAGUUGGGUCAAAUGUGUGUAACGGUUGGAUUUUGUGUGGAGGCUAUAUAUACCCCUCCACCCCUUCUCCAUUUGUGAGAGAGCCAUCAGAACGUGCCUACACUUCCCCUACUCAUUUUCUGAGGGAGAACCACCUACUCAUGUGUUGAGACCAAGAUAUUCCAAUCCUACCACUAGAAUCUUGAUCUCUAGCCUUCCCCAAGUUGCUUUCCACUCAAAUCAUCUUUCCACCAUAGCCAAAUCUGUGAGAGAGAGUUGAGUGUUGGGGAGACUAUCAUUUGAAGCACACGAGCAAGGAGUUCAUCAUCAACACAUCAUAUAUUAUCUUUUGGAGAGUGGUGUCUCCUAGAUUGGUUAAGUGUCGCUUGGGAGCCUCCGACAAGAUUGUGGAGUUGAACCAAGAAGUUUGUAAGGGCAAGGAGAUCGCCUACUCUAUGAAAAUCUACCCGAGUGAGGCAUGUCCUUCGUGGGCAAUGGCCAUGGUGGGAUAGACAAGGUUGCUUCUUUGUGGACCCUUCGUGGGUGGAGCCCUCCGUGGACUCGCGCAACCGUUACCCUUCGUGGGUUGAAGUCUCCAUCAACGUGGAUGUACGAUAGCACCAUCUUCAGAACCACGCCAAAAAUCUCUGUGUCUACAUUGCGUUUGCCUUCUCCAAACCCCUCCCUUUACCUUCAUAUGCAAUGUUUUACUUUCCGCCGCUACAUUCUUAGAAUUGCAUGUGUAGGUUGAUUGCUUGACUUGUACUAGUUGCUAAAAUCUGCCAAUAAUUAAAAUUGGGAAAAGGCUACAUUUUUAUUUGGUCAAGUAGUCUAAUCACCCCCCUCUAGAUCUACUUUCGAUCCUACAAUUGUAUCAGAGCUUUGGUCUCCAUUUGCUUUGAUUUCCCUAGAUUUGGUGAUCAUAGCCUUGGUUUCACAACCUAGGAGAGUAUGACGUCUAGCAAGGAAAAUUACCAUCGUAGAGGUCCUUACUUUGACGAUACUAAUUUUGCUAGUUUGAAGCAUACGAUAAAAAUGCAUAUUCUUGGUCAUAACCCCGCCGUUUGGGCUAUUGUGCGAAUUGGCUUGCAAGAUGAACACUUCGAGGAUGGAAGAGAACCAAAUCGUGAUGCGUCCGCCGAAGAAUUGAAGAUGUUGCAAUACAACGCUCAAGCUUGCGAUAUUCUCUUCAACGGAUUGUGCCCCAAAGAAUUCAACAAAAUCAACCGCCUUGAGAAUGCAAAGGAAAUUUGGGAUACUUUGGUUGAUAUGCAUGAAGGUACCGAGUCCGUCAAGGAAUCCAAAUUGGAUGUGCUUCAAAUUAAGUCAACUUGAUAAGUUCAAAAUGAAGGAUGGUGAAGGAGUCGCUGAGAUGUCCUCUAGGCUUGCUCUCAUCACAAAUGAGAUUGCCGGCUUAGGAAGUGAAGAGAUGAUCGACAAAUUCAUCAUCAAGAAGAUCCUAGGAGCCUUGGAUGUAAAAUAUGAUACCGUGUGCACCUUGAUCCAAAUGAUGCCCAACUACAAAGAUCUCAAGCCAACGGAAGUCAUUGGUAGAAUUGUUGCUCAUGAGAUGUCACUCAAGGAUAAGGAAGAGCUUCACAACAAGUCAAGUGGUGCUUACAAAGCUUCAUGCGAUGCUCCUACAACAUCAAGUGAGAAACAAAUCUUCAAUGAAGAAUUGAGCUUAAUGGUGAAGAACUUCAACAAAUUCUACAAGAAUAGAAGCAAAGAGAGAAGUUCCAAGUCAAGGUCCUAUAAUGACAAAAGAUCUUCUAGUCGUGAUCGCAGUUGCUACAAUUGUGAAGACCCGGGCACUACUCCAAUGAGUGUACGGCUCCCUACAAGAGAAGAGAAGAUUCACCAAAGAGGAGAAGUAAAAGAGAUGAAUCACCACCAAGAGAGAGAAGGAGUAGAGAUGAUCGUUGUGAACGAAGACCCUCUCGUAGAAGCAAGGAUUCGGAAAGGAAGGACAAGUCAUCAAAGAGCUACACAAGACGAAGACAUCAAGCUCAUGUUGGUGAAUGAGUAUUCGGUUCCGACUCCGACAACUACUCUGAGAGAAGCUAUCACUCCGACUCCGAAUAUACUCAAGAUGAAGGUGUUGCCAGUCUUGCACUUGUGUCAUCCAACUCCUACGACAUAUUUGACUCACCAAAUGAAGGAAUUGGAAGAUGCUUCAUGGCUAAAGGUCCUAAGGUAUCACACCCCGAGUAUGUUGAUUUCAAUAGUGAUGAAGAUGAUUUGCUAAGUGAUGAUGAUUUACUUGUUGACAACACUAGUGAUGAAAACUAUUAUGAAAUUGCUAUUAAUCAUGCUAAUCAAGAUGAAACGAAUGACAAUGAUAAGAAGGAGAUUGAGCGUUCAACUAAAGAACUAAACAGUCUUAAGUUAGCUCAUGAAACAACUCUAGAGGAUCAUAUAGAGCUCUUAAGAACUCAUUAGAAGCUACGCUUCGAGAAGCUAAAUUUAGAGCAAGAGCAUGGGUUCUUAAAAACAAUCAAUGAUGAUCUUCGAAAGAAGAGUUCUUCUUACAUUUCCAAGCGUUUACUCCUGUCUACUUAUAUGCCACAAGUAAAAUCUAGCAAUAAGAACAAGAAAAAUUCUUCUUCUAGUAGUAACAAUAACAAUGUUAAAUCCGAUAUUGUUGCUUCUAGUAGUUCUCUUGAUUCCACUAAUGAUUCUCUUAGCCAAGUUACACUUGAGCAAGAAAAUAGCUUAUUAAAGGGAAUUAUAGAGAAAGGUAUUCACAAAAGCCUUGUCGGAAGUAAGCAAUUUGAGGAAAUUGUACGCAAGCAAGGAAGGCACCGGAAGAAUCAAGGUGUUGGUUUUGAACGAAACUUCAAUGCCAAUGGAGUUGAGUGGGAAGAAGAUCAAUACCCCAAGACGAAGUUUGUUCCUCAACAAGAGAAGUAUGACCCUACUUCUUUCAAGGGAACACAAGCUCAAGAUGAUCUUCCAGCACAAGACCACAAGCUAAAAGGCAAGGACAAGCUUCAAGAGGAAAUUGAUUCAUUUGAAGAAGCUCCUAAGGCCUUGGUCAAGUGGGUUCCCAAGACUACAUCAAGUUCUACUUCAUCAAGUACGACUACAACUCCAAGGAUUCCCAUCAAGUUGAUGUGGAUCCCAAAGAAGAAGAACUAGAGAGUUCUUGAGGGUGACUCUGCCAACAUACUUCACUCACAUUCAUUUUGGCAAGCACAAGUGCAACCAACUUCCAUAUCUUGCACUAGUUCAUGGAGUCACAAACCCUCUUGUUGGUAAGACAAGGGACAAGGUAACCUAAUGCUUUCAUGGACAUCAUCAUAUGUGUGUUUCGCUCUAUGCCUAUGGAUAUCCUUGUGGGACUAACCCAUGUAGGCAGUGAAAGUGCAACUCACUCCAAUGGAUUGCUUCAAAUGAUCUACAUCAACAUUGAGCAUCCACAUCUUUAACACCUACAUGAAGUCAUCAUCGACAAAAGCCAAGGUUAGUUCAUCCCUCUAAGUGGGGAUAUCACAUCUAGGGGGAUCUUUGCUCUAAGAAUUGAGCUAAAGCAACUCUAAUGGUGUGAACACAACAAUGCUUUAUGUAAAAGUGGCAACCCCACUUGUGUUUAAACGAUGAGUAUGACCUACGAUCAAAUAUUCUCAUUUGACUCCCCAGUCAAUAUACUCAUAUAUAGAUGACCUAGUCAUCGCCAAUUGCUUGAUAGAUGCUAGAGUGUUUGUGCAUGCUUUGCCACAUAAUUUAUUUGCCAUCUUAUUGUGUGAGCAUGUUGGUUGCAUAAUUUUCUUCAUUCGAGGACAUCCAUUUGUUGCUUUGAUUGUUUGGUUUUUCUUUUUGCCAAACGGAUGGACAAGAAUGCUUAAGUGUUGGGGAACGUAGUAUUUCAAAAAUUUGCCUACGAUCACGCAAGAUCUAUCUAGGAGAAGCAUAGCAACGAGCAGGGAGAGUGUGUCUACAUACCCUCGUAGACCGAAAGCGGAAGCGUUUAGUAACGCGGUUGAUGUAGUCGAACGUCUUCGCGAUCCAACCGAUCCAAGCACCGAACGUACGGCACCUCCACGUUCAGCACACGUUUAGCUCGAUGACGUCCCUCGUACCCUUGAUCCAGUUGAGGCCGAGGGAGAGUUCCGUCAGUACGACGGCGUGGCGACGGUGAUGAUGAAGUUAUCGGUGCAGGGCUUCGCCUAAGCACUACGACGAUAUGACCGAGGUGUGUAACUGUGGAGGGGGGCACCACACACGGCUAAGAAAAAUCUUGGAGUGCCUUUGGGGUGCCCCCUGCCCACGUAUAUAAAGGAGGGAGGAGGAGGUUGCCGGCCUAGGAGGGGCGCGCCUAUAGGGGGAGUCCAACUAGUAUUCCCAAUCCUAGUUGGAGUCCCCUUCCUUUUCCAAGAGGGAAGAGAGGGAAGGAGUAGGAGAGGGAGAAGGAAAGAGGGCGGGGCGUAGCCCCCUCCCUAGUCAAAUUUGGACUUGCCAUGGGGCGGGGGCGGCCACCCCUUGAGGCCCUUCUCUCCUUUCCCGUAUGGCCCAUUAAGGCCCAAUACUUCCCCGGCGAAUUCCCGUAACUCUCCGGUACUCCAAAAAAUACCCGAAACUCGGAACCUUUCCGAUGUCCGAAUACAGCCUUCCAAUAUAUCGAUCUUGUACCUCUCGACCAUUUCGAGACUCCUCGUCAUGUCCGUGAUCUCAUCCGGGACUCCGAACAACCUUCGGUCAUCAAAUCACAUAAACUCAUAAUACAAAUCGUCAUCGAACGUUAAGCGUGCGGACCCUACUGGUUCGAGAACUAUGUAGACAUGACCGAGACACAUCUCCUGUCAAUAACCAAUAGCGGAACCUGGAUGCUCAUAUUGGCUCCUACAUAUUCUACGAAGAUCUUUAUCGGUCAAACCGCAUAACAACAUACGUUGUUCCCUUUGUCAUCGGUAUGUUACUUGCCCGAGAUUCGAUCGUCGGUACCACCAUACCUAGUUCAAUCUCGUUACCGGCAAGUCUCUUUACUCGUUCCGUAAUGCAUCAUCCCGUAACUAACUCAUUAGUCACAUUGCUUGCAAGGCUUAUAGUGAUGUGCAUUACCGAGAGGGCCCAGAGAUACCUCUCCGAUACACGGAGUGACAAAUCCUAAUCUUGAUCUAUGCCAACCCAACAAACACCUUCGGAGACACCUAUAGAGCAUCUUUAUAAUCACCCAGUUACGUUGUGACGUUUGAUAGCACACAAGGUAUUCCUCCGGUAUUCGGGAGUUGCAUAAUCUCAUAGUCAGAGGAAUAUGUAUAAGUCAUGAAGAAAGCAAUAGCAAUAAAACUUAACGAUCAUAAUGCUAAGCUAACCGAUGGGUCUUGUCCAUCACAUCAUUCUCCUAAUGAUGUGAUCCCGUUCAUCAACUGACAACACAUGUCUAUGGUCAGGAAACUUAACCAUCUUUGAUUAACGAGCUAGUCUAGUAGAGGCAUACUAGGGACACUUUGUUUUGUCUAUGUAUUCACACAUGUAUCAAGUUUCCGGUUAAUACAAUUCUAGCAUGAAUAAUAAACAUUUAUCAUGAUAUAAGGAAAUAUAAAUAACAACUUUAUUAUUGCCUCUAGGGCAUAUUUCCUUCAGUCUCCCACUUGCACUAGAGUCAAUAAUCUAGUUCAGAUCGCCAUGUGAUUUAACACCAAUAGUUCACAUCACCAUGUGAUUAGUUCACAUCGCCAUGUGAUUAGUUCACAUCGCCAUGUGACUAAUACCCAAAGGGUUUUACUAGAGUCAAUAAUCUAGUUCACAUCGCGAUGUGAUUAACACCCAAAGAGUACUAAGGUGUGAUCAUGUUUUGCUUGUGAGAGAAGCUUAGUCAAUGGGUCUGUCACUUUCAGAGCCGUAUGUAUUUUGCAAAUUUUGUAUGUCUACAAUGCUCUGCAUGGAGCUACUCUAGCUAAUUGCUCCCACUUUCAAUAUGUAUCCAGAUUGAGACUCAGAGUCAUCCGGAUUCGGUGUAAAAGCUUGCAUCGACGUAACUCUUUGCGACGAACUCUUUAUCACCUUCAUAACCGAGAAAUAUUUCCUUAGUCCUCUAAGGGUAAUUUUGACCAAUGUCCAGUGAUCUACUCCUAGAUCACUAUUGUACUCCCUUGCCAAACUCAGGGCAGGGUAUGCAAUAGGUCUGGUACACAGCAUGGCAUACUUUAUAGAACCUAUGACUGAGGCAUAGAGAAUGACUUUUCAUUCUCUUUCUAUUUUCUGCCGUGGUCGGGUUUUGAGUCUUACUCAACUUUACACCUUGCAACACAGGCAAGAACUUCUUCUUUGACUGUUCCAUUUUGAACUACUUCAAAAACUUGUCAAGGUAUGUACUCAUUGAAAAAACUUAUUAAGCGUCUUGAUCUAUAUCUAUAGAUCUUGAUGCUCAAUAUGUAAGCAGCUUCACCGAGGUCUUUCUUUGAAAAAUUCCUUUCAAACACUCCUUUAUGCUUUCCAGAAAAUUCUACAUCAUUUCUGAUCAACAAUAUGUCAUUCACAUAUACUUAUCAUAAAUGUUGUAGUGCUCCCUCUCACUUUCUUGUAAAUACAGGCUUCACCAAAAGUCUGUAUAAAACCAUAUGCUUUGAUCACCUUAUCAAAUUGUAUAUUCCAACUCCGAGAUGCUUGCACCAGUCCAUAGAUGGAUCGCUGGAGCUUGCACACUUUGUUAGCACCUUUAGGAUUGACAAGUGAUACGUCUCCAACGUAUCUAUAAUUUUUGAUUGUUCCAUGCUAUUAUAUUAUCUGUUUUGGAUGUUCAAUGGGCUUUAUUAUACACUUUUAUAUUAUUUUUGGGACUAACCUACUAAUCGGAGGCCCAAUGCAAAUUGCUGUUUUUUUUGCCUAUUUCAGUGUUUCAUAGAAAAGGAAUAUCAAACGGAGUCCAAACGGAACGAAACAUUCAGGAGAGUUAUUUUUGGAACAAACGCAAUCCAUGAGACUUGGAGUGGACGUCAAGAAAGAACCGAGGAGGCCACGAGGCAGGAGGGCGCGCCCAGGGGGGUAGGCGCGCCCCCCACCCUCGUGGCUCCCCUGACUGACUUCUUUCAUCUAUAUAUACCCAUAUACCCCAAAAACAUCCGAGAGCACCACGAAACCCUAUUUCCACCGCCGCAACCUUCUGUACCCGUGAGAUCCCAUCUUGGGGCCUUUCCCGGCGCUCCGCCGGAGGGGGAAUCGAUCACGGAGGGCUUCUACAUCAACACCAUAGCCUCUCCGAUGAUGUGCGAGUAGUUUAUCACAGACCUUCGGGUCCAUAGUUAUUAUCUAGAUGGCUUCUUCUCUCUCUUUGGAUCUCAAUACAAAGUUCUCCUCAAUCUUCUUGGAGAUCUAUUAGAUGUAAUUCUUUUUGCGGUGUGUUUGUCGAGAUCCGAUGAAUUGUGGGUUUAUGAUCAAGAUUAUCUAUGAACAAUAUUUAAUCUCCUCUGAAUUAUUUUAUGUAUGAUUUGUUAUCUUUGCAAGUCUCUUCGAAUUAUCAGUUUGGUUCGGCCUACUAGAUUGAUCUUUCUUGCAAUGGGAGAAGUGCUUAGCUUUGGGUUCAAUCUUGCGUUGCUCGACCCCAGUGACAGAAAGGGAAACAACACGUAUUGUAUUGUUGCCAUCAAGGAUAAAAAGAAGGGGUUUAUAUCAUAUUGCUUGAGUUUAUCCCUCUACAUCAUGUCAUCUUGCCUAAUGCGUUACACUGUUCUUAUGAACUUAAUACUCUAGAUGCAUGCUGGAUAGCGUUCGAUGUGUGGAGUAAUAGUAGUAGAUGCAGAAUCGUUUCGGUCUACUUGUCGCGGACGUGAUGCCUAUAUACAUGAUCAUGCCUAGAUAUUCUCAUAACUAUGCACUUUUCUAUCAAUUGCUCGACAAUAAUUUGUUCACCCACCGUAAUACUUAUGCUAUCUUGAGAGAAGCCACUAGUGAAACCUAUGGCCCCCGGGUCUAUUUUCCAUCAUAUAAGUUUCCAAUCUAUUUUACUUUGCAAUCUUUACUUUUCAAUCUAGACAACAAAAAUACCAAAAAUAUUUAUCUUAUUAUCUCUAUCAGAUCUCACUUUUGCAAGUGGCCGUGAAGGGAUUGGCAACCCCUUUAUCGCGUUGGUUGCAAGGUUCUUAUUUGUUUGUGUAGGCACGAGGUGACUUGCGUGUAGUUCCUACUGGAUUGAUACCUUGGUUCUCAAAAACUGAGGGAAAUACUUACGCUACUUUGCUGCAUCACCCUUUCCUCUUCAAGGGAAAAACCAACGCAAUGCUCAAGAGGUGGCAAGAAGGAUUUCUGGCGCCGUUGCCGGGGAGAUCUACGCCAAGUCAAGACAUACCAAGUACCCAGCACAAACUCUUAUCCCUCGCAUUACAUUAUUUGCCAUUUGCCUCUCGUUUUCCUCUCCCUCACUUCACCCUUGCCUUUUCUUUGCCUUCUUCCCGUAUGUUUUUUGUUUUGUGUUUCCAUGUGCCUUCUAUUUGCUUGCAUCUUUUCUUGCUAAAAAUCUAUUGAUAUGGAUCCACUUAAAGUGUUCUACUUGGAUCAUCUUCGAUCCUUAUGCGCUCGUGCUAAAACCCCAACUAGCCUAGUUGAUGGGAAAUCUUUAGAUGAGCAUGCUCAUUUUGUGCGUCACCGUUUGUCUGAAAAAGGGAGACUCUUAUGGGAUCAAAUAAACAAAUUGCCGUGUUAUGCUUGGAAUCUUUGUGAAAUGUAUGAUUUUACUUGUUGCUCUAAGAACCCUAAAAAAUACCUCCCCUACCUAUGUGAGUUUAAUGAUAAUGAAAUCUUAUCUUCUUAUGCAAAGGGUGUUUAUAGUUACUACGAUAUUGAACAAAUUGAAGAAUUUGUUGCUUUUAAGGGUGCUUAUGAAGUUGCUUCUUUGAUUGAAAAGUAUGAUACUACUCUCUACGAAUCUGAAAAUUUUGACAUACUUAAAUAUUGCUAUGAAAACUAUGCUCAUAAUGUCUAUGUCAAAGAAUUUAUUGAAAGAAUGACCGUUGCUUCUGAAGAAAAUAAUGAUAUGCAUGAAUCUAUAGAUAAUUAUGAUUCCGAUGAUUUGAUUGAAAUAUCCCUUGAUGAACAUGAUGCUUGCUAUUCUUGUGGCCAUGAUGCCAAUAUUUAUGAAGAUGAAUUUGCUAUAGUUCCUUAUGUUAAACAUGAGAUCGUUGCUAUUGCACCCAUACAUGAUAGUUCCUUCGAUGAAAAGCAUGAUUGCAACGAUGUUACUAUAAAUUCUCUUGAUGUCAAUUGUGCUAAUAAUAUGCAAAAACCUAAGCUUGGGGAUGCUAGUUUUGCUUUGUCUACUACUUGUUGCAAUGAUCAUGAUUGGGGUGAUUCUUCUUAUGAUCUUGAAAAUCUAUUUAAGCCCCAUGAUAAAUAUGAGAUUGAUAAUAGUAUUUGCAAUAAUAUUGAAAGUGGGUUUGGAAGAGUGUCAACUUUAGAUCCCACAUAUUUGGAGAAUGUUCAAUCUUAUGGUAUUUUUGAUAAAAGUGGGUUUGGAGAGGUCAUGACUUUAGUUAAUGAUAAUCCCACUAUUUUGGAAGAGUGUCAACUUCGCAUGCAUGUGGAUCGUGUUGAGAAUAUGUUAUGUGAUAGCUAUUUUGUUGAAUUUGCCUAUGAUCCUACAUGUAAUUAUUAUGAGAGAGGAAAAUAUGGUUAUAGAAAUUUUCAUGCUACUAAAUUACCUCUCGUUAUGUUGAGAUUGCUAUUGUUUCUUUCCGCUUCCUUGCAUAUGCUAGUUUUUGCUUGCCUUGAUAAUUUGUUUGCCUAUAAGAUGCCUAUGCAUAGGAAGUAUGUUAGACUUAGAUGUGUUUGUCACGUGUUUUAUGAUGCUCUCUUUGUGCUUCAAUUCUUGUUUUUCAUGUGAGCAUCAUUGAAAUCUCAAUGCCUAGCUAAAAAGGCUUUAAAGAAAAGCGCUUGUUGGGAGGCAACCCAAUUUUAUUUUUGUUUGUUGCUUUUUGGUUCUGUUUAGUAAUAAAUAAUUCAUCUAGCCUCUGGUUAGAUGUGGUUUUAUGUUUUAAUUAGUGUUUGUGCCAAGUGAAACCUAUAGGAUCUUCUUGGAUGAUAGUUAUUUGAUCUUGCUGAAAAAGUCAGAAACUUUCUGCUCAUGAAAACAAUUGUUAAAAAUCACCAGAACGUGAUAAAAUACUGAUUCCAAUUGCAGUAGAUCAAUAAACAAAUUAUAUAGGUUUUCCUAUUUUGGUAUAUUUUUCCGAGUUACAGAAGUUUGCGUUUGUUACAGAUUACUACAGACUGUUCUGUUUUUGACAGAUUCUGUUUUUUGUGUGUUGUUUGCUUAUUUUGAUGAAUCUAUGACUAGUAUCGGGGGGUAUAAACCAUAGAGAAGUUGGAAUACAGUAGGUUUAACACCAAUAUAAAUAAAUAAUGACUUCAUUACAGUACCUUGAAGUGGUGGUUUGUUUUCUUUCGCUAACGGAGCUCAUGAGAUUUUCUGUUGAGUUUUGUGUUGUGAAGUUUUCAAGUUUUGGGUAAAGAUUUGAUGGAUUAUGGAAUAAGGAGUGGCAAGAGCCUAAGCUUGGGGAUGCCCAAGGCACCCCAAGGUAAAUUCAAGGACAACCAAAAGCCUAUGCUUGGGGAUGCUCCGGAAGGCAUCCCCUCUUUCGUCUUCGUCCAUCGGUAACUUUACUUGAUGCUAUAUUUUUAUUCACCACAUGAUAUGUGUUUUGCUUGGAGCUUCUUGUAUGAUUUGAUUCUUUGCUUUUUAUUUUACCACAGUCAUCCUUGCUGUAAACACCUUUUGGAGACACACACAUGAAUCGGAAUCUAUUAGAAUACUCUAUGUGCUUCACUUAUAUCUUUUGAGCUAGAUAAUUUUGCUCUAGUGCUUCGCUUAUAUGUUUUAGAGCACGGUGGUGGUUUAUUUUAUAGAAAUUAUUGAUCUCUCAUGCUUCACUUAUAUUAUUUUGAGAGUCUUUUGGAACAGCAUGGUAAUUUUCUUUGGUUAAAAUUUUAGUCCUAAAGUGAUGAGCAUCCAAGAUGGGUAUAAUAAAAACUAUCAUAUAAAGUGCAUUGAAUACUAUGAGAAGUUUGAUUCUUUAUGAUUGUUUUGAGAUAUGAAGAUGGUGAUAUUAGAGUCAUUCUAGUUGAGUAGUUGUGAAUUUGAGAAAUACUUGUGUUAAAGUUUGUGAUUCCCGUAGCAUGCACGUAUGGUGAACCGUUAUGUGAUGAAGUCGGAGCAUGAUUUAUUUAUUGAUUGUCUUCCUUAUGAGUGGCGGUCGGGGACGAGCGAUGGUAUUUUCCUACCAAUCUAUCCCCCUAGGAGCAUGCACGUAAUACUUCGUUUUGAUAACUAAUAGAUUUUUGCAAUAAGUAUAUGAGUUCUUUAUGACUAAUGUUGAGUCCAUGGAUUAUACGCACUCUCACCCUUCCACCAUCGCUAGCCUCUCUAAUACCGCGCACCUUUCACCGGUAUCAUACACCCACCAUAUACCUUCCUCAAAACAGCCACCAUACCUACCUAUUAUGGCAUUUCCAUAGCCAUUCCGAGAUAUAUUGCCAUGCAACUUACCACCGUUCCGUUUAUUAUGACACGCUUCAUCAUUGUCAUAUUGCUUUGCAUGAUCAUGUAGUUGACAUUGUAUUCGUGGCAAAGCCACAUUUAUAAUUCUUUCAUACAUGUCACUCUUGAUUCAUUGCAUAUCCCGGUACACCGUCGGAGGCAUUCACAUAGAGUCAUAUUUUGUUCUAAGUAUUGAGUUGUAAUUCUUGAGUUGUAAGUAAAUAAAAGUGUGAUGAUCAUCAUUAUUAGAGCAUUGUCCCAGUAAGGAAAGGAUGAUGGAGACUAUGAUUCCCCCACAAGUCGGGAUGAGACUCCGGACGAAAAAUAAAAAAGAAAGAAAGAAAAGAGGCCAUAAAAAAAGAGAAAGGCCCAAAUAAAAAAAAAAGAGAAAAAGAGAGAAGGGACAAUGCUACUAUCCUUUUACCACACUUGUGCUUCAAAGUAGCACCAUGAUCAUCAUGAUAGAGAGUCUCCUAUGUUGACACUUUCAUAUACUAGUGGGAAUUUUUCAUUAUAGAACUUGGCUUGUAUAUUCCAAUGAUGGGCUUCCUCAAAAUUCCUAGGUCUUCGUGAGCAAGCGAGUUGGAUGCGCACCCACUUAGUUUCUUUUGUUGAGCUUUCAUACACUUAUAGCUCUAGUGCAUCCGUUGCAUGGCAAUCCCUACUCACUCACAUUGAUAUCUAUCGAUGGGCAUCUCCAUAGCCCAUUGAUACGCCUAUUUGAUGUGGGACUAUCUUCUCCUUUUUUGUCUUCUCCACAACCACCAUUCUAUUCCACAUAUAGCGCUAUGUCCAUGUCUCACGCUCAUGUAUUGCGUGAAGAUUGAAAAAGUUUGAGAACAUCAAAAGUAUGAAACAAUUGCUUGGCUUGUCAUCGGGGUUGUGCAUGAUUUAAUAUUUUGUGUGAUGAAGAUAGAGCAUAGCCAGACUAUACAAUUUUGUAGGGAUAACUUUCUUUGGCCAUGUUAUUUUGAGAAGACAUGAUUGCUUUAUUAGUAUGCUUGAAGUAUUAUUGUUUUUAUGUCAAUAUUAAACUUUUGUCUUGAAUCUUUCGGAUCUGAACAUUCAUGCCACAAUAAAGAAAAUUACAUUGAGGAUUAUGCUAGGUAGCAUUCCACAUCAAAAAUUCUGUUUUUAUCAUUUACCUACUCGAGGACGAGCAGGAAUUAAGCUUGGGGAUGCUUGAUACGUCUCCAACGUAUCUAUAAUUUUUGAUUGUUCCAUGCUAUUAUAUUAUCUUUUUGGAUGUUUAAUGGGCUUUAUUAUACACUUUUAUAUUAUUUUUGGGACUAACCUACUAACCGGAGGCGCAGUGCAAAUUGCUGUUUUUUUGCCUAUUUUAGUGUUUCGCAGAAAAGGAAUAUCAAAAAGAGUCCAAACGGAAGGAAACCUUCGGGAGAGUUAUUUUUGGAACAAACGCAAUCCAGGAGACUUGGAGUGGAGGUCAAGAAAGAACCAAGGAGGCCACGAGGCAGGAGGGCGUGCCCAGGGGGGUAGGCGCGCCCCCACCCUCGUGGGCCCUCGUGGCUCCCCUGCCCGACUUCUUUCGCCUAUAUAUACCCAUAUACCCCGAAAACAUCCGAGAGCACCACGAAACCGUAUUUCCACCGCCGCAACCUUCUGUACCCAUGAGAUCCCAUCUUGGGGCCUUUUUCGGCGCUCCGCCGGAGGGGGAAUCGAUCACGGAGGGCUUCUACAUCAACACCAUAGCCUCUCCGAUGAUGUGGAGUAGUUUAUCACAGACCUCCGGGUCCAUAGUUAUUAGCUAGAUGGCUUCUUCUCUCUCUUUGGAUCUCAAUACAAAGUUCUCCUCGAUCUUCUUGGAGAUCUAUUCGAUGUAAUUCUUUUUGCGGUGUGUUUGUCGAGAUCCGAUGAAUUGUGGGUUUAUGAUCAAGAUUAUCUAUGAACAAUAUUUGGAUCUCCUCUGAAUUCUUUUAUGUGAUUUGUUAUCUUUGCAAGUCUCUUCGAAUUAUCAGUUUGGUUUGGCCUACUAGAUUGAUCUUUCUUGCAAUGGGAGAAGUGCUUAGCUUUGGGUUCAAUCUUGCGUUGCUCGAUCCCAGUGAUAGAAAGGGAAACAACACGUAUUGUAUUGUUGCCAUCGAGGAUAAAAAGAUGGGGUUUAUAUCAUCUUGCUUGAGUUUAUCCCUCUACAUCAUGUCAUCUUGCCUAAUGCAUUACUCUAUUCUUAUGAACUUAAUACUCUAGAUGCAUGCUGGAUAGUGGUCGAUGUGUGGAGUAAUAGUAGUAGAUGCAGAAUCGUUUCGGUCUACUUAUCGCGGACGUGAUGCCUAUAUACAUGAUCAUGCCUAGAUAUUCUCAUAACUAUGCACUUUUCUAUCAAUUGCUCGACAGUAAUUUGUUCACCCACCGUAAUACUUAUGCUAUCUUGAGAGAAGCCACUAGUGAAACCUAUGGCCCCCGGGUAUAUUUUCCAUCAUAUAAGUUUCCAAUCUAUUUUACUUUGCAAUCUUUACUUUUCAAUCUAGACAACAAAAAUACCAAAAGUAUUUAUCUUAUUAUCUCUAUCAGAUCUCACUUUUGCAAGUGGCCGUGAAGGGAUUGACAACCCCUUUAUCGCGUUGGUUGCAAGGUUCUUAUUUGUUUGUGUAGGUACGAGGCGACUUGCGUGUAGUCUCCUACUGGAUUGAUACCUUGGUUCUCAAAAACUGAGGGAAAUACUUACACUACUUUGCUGCAUCACCCUUUCCUCUUCAAGGGAAAAACUAACGCAGUGCUCAAGAGGUACCAACAAGACCUUCUUGUUGCAUCAUAUACAACUUUUCUUUAAAAAAUCCAUUAAGGAAUGUAGUUUUGACAUCCAUUUGCCAGAUUUCAUAAAACGUGGCAAUUGCUAACAUGAUUCAGACAGACUUAAGCAUCGCUACGAGUGAGAAAAUCUUAUCGUAGUCAACACCUUGAACUUGUCAAAAACUUUUUGCGACAAUUCGAGCUUUGUAGAUAGUAACACUACUAUCAGCGUCCGUCUUCCUCUUGAAGAUCCAUUUAUUCUCAAUGGCUCACCGAUCAUCGGGCAAGUCAAUCAAAGUCCAUACUUUGUUCUCAUACAUGGGUCCCAUCUCAGAUUUCAUGGCCUCAAACCAUUUCGCGGAAUCUGAGCUCAUCAUCGCUUCCUCAUAGUUCGUAGGUUCAUCAUGGUCUAGUAACAUGACUCCCAGAAUAGGAUCACCGUACAACUCUGGUGCAGAACAUAUUCUGUUUGGCCUACGAGGUUCGGUAGUAACUUGAUCUGAAGUUUCAUGAUCAUCAUCAUUAACUUCCUCACUGAUUGAUGUAGGCAUCACUGGAACUGAUUUCUGUGAUGAACUACUUUCCAAUUUGGGAGAAGGUACAAUUACCUCAUCAAGUUCUACUUUCCUCCCACUCACUUCUUUCAAGAGAAACUUCUUCUCUAGAAAGGAUCCAUUCUUAGCAACGAAUAUCUUGCCUUCGGAUUUGUGAUAGAAGGUGUACCCAACAGUUUCCUUUGGGUAUCCUAUGAAGACACAUUUCUCCGAUUUGGGUUCGAGCUUACCAGGUUGAAACUUUUUCACAUAAGCAUCACAGCCCCAAACUUUAAGAAAUGACAGCUUAGGUUUCCUGCUAAACCAUAGUUCAUAUGGUGUCGUCUCAACGGAUUUAGAUGGUGCCCUAUUUAACGUGAAUGCAACUGUCUCUAAUGCAUAACCCCAAAACGAUAGUGGUAAAUCGGUAAGAGACAUCAUAAAUCGCACCAUAUCUAAUAAAGUAAGGUUACGACGUUCGGACACACCAUUACGCUAUGGUGUUCCAGGUGGCGUGAGUUGUGAAACUAUUCCACAGUUUUAAAUGAAGGUAAAACUCGUAACUCAAAUAUUGGCCUCCGCGAUCAGAUCAUAGAAACUUUAUUUUCUUGUUACGAUGAUUUUCCACUUCACUCUGAUAUUCUUUGAAUUUUUCAAAUGUUUCAGACUUGUGUUUCAUCAAGUAGAUAUACCCAUAUCUGCUCAAAUCAUCUGUGAGGCUCAGAAAAUAAUGAUACCCGCCGCGAGCCUCAACACUCAUCAGACCGCAUACAUCGGUAUGUAUUAUUUCCAAUAAGUCAGUGUCUCGCUCCAUUGUUCUUGAGAACGGAGUCUUAGUCAUCUUGCACAUGAGGCAAGGUUCGCAAGCAUCAAAUGAUUCAUAAUCAAGUGAUUCCAAAAUUCCAUCUGCAUGGAGUUUCUUCAUGCGCUUUACACCAAUAUGACCUAAACGGCAGUGCCACAAAUAAGUUGCACUAUCAUUAUUAAACUUAUAUCUUUUGGCAUCAAUAUUAUGUGUAUCACUGUGAUCGAGAUUCAGUAAACCAUUUACAUUGGAUGUAAGACCAUAGAAGGUUUUAUUCAUGUAAACAGAACAACAAUUAUUCUCUGACUUAAAUGAAUAACCGUAUCGCUAUAAACAUGAUCCAAUCAUAUUUAUGCUCAACGCAAACACCAAAUAACAUUUAUUUAGUUCCAAUACUAAUCCCGAAGGAAAAAGGGAGUGUGCGAUGGUGAUCUUAUCAACCUUGGAAUCACUUCCAACACACAUCGUCGCCUUGCCCUCAACUAGUCUCUGUUCAUUUUGUAACUCCUGUUUCAAGUUACUAAUCAUACCAACUGAACCAGUAUCAAAUACCCAGGGGCUACUAUGAAUACUAGUAAAGUACACAUCAAUAACAUGUAUAUCAUAUAUACUUUUGUUCACUUUGCCAUCCUUCUUAUCCGCCAAGUAUUUAGGGCAGUUCCGCUUCCAGUGACCAUUUCCUAUCCAGUAGAAGCACUCAGUUUCAGGCUUGGGUCUAGCUUUGGGCUUCUUCAUGGGAGUGGCAACUUGCUUUUCAUUCUUCUUGAAGUUCCCUUUCUUUCCCUUGCCCUUUUACUUGAAACUAGUGGUCUUGUCAACCAUCAACACUUGAUGCUUUUCUUGAUUUCUACCUUCGCCGAUUUCAGCAUCGCGAAGAGUUCGGGGAAUCGUUUUCUUCAUCCCUUGCAUAUUAUAGUUCAUCAUGAAGUUCCAGUAACUUGGUGAUAGUGACUAGAGAACUCUGUCAAUCACUAUCUUAUCUGGAAGAUUAACUCCCACUUGAUUCAAGCGAUUGUAGUACUCAGACAUUCUGAGCACAUGCUCACUGGUUGAGCUAUUCUCCUCCAUCUUGUAGGCAAAGUACUUGUCAGAGGUCUCAUACCUCUCGACUCGGGCAUGAGUCUGAAAUACCAAUUUCAGCUCUUGGAACAUAUCAUAUGCUCCGUGACAUUUCAAAACAUUUUUUAAGUCCCGGUUCUAAGCCGUAAAGCAUGGUGCACUAAACUAUCAAGUAGUCAUCAUACCGAGCUUGUCAAACAUUCAUAAUGUCUGCAUCUGCUCCUGCAAUAAUUUUGUCACCUAGCGGUGCAUCAAGGACAUAAUUCUUCUGUGCAGCAAUGAGGAUAAUCCUCAGAUGACAGACCUAGUCCGCAUCAUUGCUACUAUACAACUUUCAACUUAGUUUUCUCUAGGAACAUAUCAUAAAUAAAAUGAGGAAGCUAUACGCGAGCAAUUGAUCUACAACAUAGAUAUUACUUAAGAACUCCCACGUAGAUAGACAUCCCUCUAGUCAUCUAAAUGACCACGUGAUCCAUAUCAACUAAACCAUGUCCGAUCAUCACGUGAGAUGGAGUAGUUUUCAAUGGUGAACAUCACUAUGUUGAUCAUAUCUACUAUAUGAUUCACGUUCGACCUUUCGGUCUCAGUGUUCCGAGGCCAUAUCUGCAUAUGCUAGGCUCGUCAAGUUUAACCCGAGUAUUCUGCAUGUGCAAAACCGGCUUGCACCUGUUGUAUGUGAACGUAGAGCUUAUCACACCCGAUCAUCACGUGGUGUCUCGGCAUGACGAACUGUCGCAACAGCGCAUACUCAGGGAGAACACUUAUACCUUGAAAUUUAGUGAGGGAUCAUCUUAUAAUGCUACCGCCGUACUAAGCAAAAUAAGAUGCAUAAAAGAUAAACAUCACAUGCAAUCAAAAUAUGUGACAUGAUAUGGCCAUCAUCAUCUUGUGCCUUUGAUCUCCAUCUCCAAAGUAUCGUCAUGAUCUCCAUCGUCACCGGCAUGACACCAUGAUCUCCAUCAUAUUGAUCUCUAUCAACGUGUCGUCACAUGGUUGUCUCGCCAACUAUUGCUUUUGCAACUAUUGCUAUCGCAUAGCGAUAAAGUAAAGCAAUUAUAUGGCGCUUGCAUCUUAUGCAAUAAAGAGACAACCAUAAGGCUCCUGCCAGUUGCCGAUAACUUUAACAAAACAUGAUCAUCUCAUACAAGAAAUUAUAUCACAUCAUGUCUUGACCAUAUCACAUCACAACAUGCCCUGCAAAAACAAGUUAGACGUCUUCUACUUUGUUGUUGCAAGUUUUACGUGGCUGCUACGGGCUUCUAGCAAGAACCGUUCUUACCUAUGCAUCAAAAACCACAACGAUUUUUUGUCAAGUGUGCUAUUUUAACCUUCAACAAGGAUCGGGCGUAGUCACACUCGAUUCAACUAAAGUUGGAGAAACAGACACCCACUAGCCACCUGUGUGCGAAGCACGGCAGUAGAACCAGUCUCAUGAACACGGUCAUGUAAUGUCGGUCUGGGUCGCUUCGUCCAACAAUACUGCCGAAUCAAAGUAUGACAUGCUGGUAAGCAGUAUGACUAUUAUCGCCCACAACUCUUUGUGUUCUACUCGUGCAUAUAACAUCUACGCAUAGACCUGGCUCGGAUGCCACUGUUGGGGAACGUAGUAUUUCAAAAAUUUGCCUACGAUCACACAAGAUCUAUCUAGGAGAAGCAUGGCAACGAGCGGGGAGAGUGUGUCUACGUACCCUCGUAGACCGAAAGCGGAAGCGUUUAGUAACACAGUUGAUGUAGUCGAACGUCUUCGCGAUCCAACCAAGCCAAGCACCGAACGUACGACACCUCCGCGUUCAGCACACGUUCAACUCGAUGACGUCCCUCGUACUCUUGAUACAGUUGAGGCCGAGGGAGAUUUCCGUCGGCACGACGGCGUGGCGACGGUGAUGAUGAAGUUACCGGCGCAGGGCUUCGCCUAAGCACUACGACGAUAUGACCGAGGUGUGUAACUGUGGAGGGGGGCACCGCACAUGGCUAAGACAAAUCUUGGAGUGCCUUUGGGGUUCCCCCUGCCCACGUAUAUAAAGGAGGGAGGAGGAGGAGGCCGGCCUAGGAGGGGCGCGCCUAUAGGGGGAGUCCAACUAGGAUUCCCAAUCCUAGUUGGAGUCCCCUUCCUUUUCCAAGAGGGGAGAGAGGGAAGGAGUAGGAGAGGGAGAAGGAAAGAGAGGGGGGCGCCGCCCCCUCCCUAGUCCAAUUCAGACUAGNNNNNNNNNNNNNNNNNNNNNNNNNNNNNNNNNNNNNNNNNNNNNNNNNNNNNNNNNNNNNNNNNNNNNNNNNNNNNNNNNNNNNNNNNNNNNNNNNNNNNNNNNNNNNNNNNNNNNNNNNNNNNNNNNNNNNNNNNNNNNNNNNNNNNNNNNNNNNNNNNNNNNNNNNNNNNNNNNNNNNNNNNNNNNNNNNNNNNNNNNNNNNNNNNNNNNNNNNNNNNNNNNNNUCUUUCCCGUAUGGCCCAUUAAGGCCCAAUACUUCCCCGACGAAUUCCCGUAACUCUCCGGUACUCCAAAAAAUACCUGAAACUCGGAACCUUUCCCAUGUCCGAAUACAGCCUUCCAAUAUAUCGAUCUUGUACCUCUCGACCAUUUUGAGAGUCCUCAUCAUGUCCGUGAUCUCAUCCGGGACUCCGAACAACCUUCGGUCAUCAAAUCACAUAAACUCAUAAUACAAAUCGUCAUCGAACGUUAAGCGUGCGGACCCUACAGGUUCGAGAACUAUGUAGACAUGACCGAGACACAUCUCCUAUCAAUAACCAAUAGCGGAACCUGGAUGCUCAUAUUGGCUCCUACAUAUUCUAUGAAGAUCUUUAUCGGUCAAACCGCAUAACAACAUACGUUGUUCCCUUUGUCAUCGGUAUGUUACUUGCCCGAGAUUCGAUCGUCGGUAUCACCAUACCUAGUUCAAUCUCGUUACCGGCAAGUCUCUUUACUCGUUCCGUAAUGCAUCAUCCCGUAACUAACUCAUUAGUCACCUUGCUUGCAAGGCUUAUAGUGAUGUGCAUUACCGAGAGGGCCCAGAGAUACCUUUCCGAUACACGGAGUGACAAAUCCUAAUCUUGAUCUAUGCCAACCCAACAAACACCUUCGGAGACACCUGUAGAGCAUCUUUAUAAUCACCCAGUUACGUUGUGAUGUUUGAUAGCACACAAGGUGUUCCUCCGGUAUUCGGGAGUUGCAUAAUCUCAUAGUUAGAGGAAUAUGUAUAAGUCAUGAAGAAAGCAAUAGCAAUAAAACUUAACGAUCAUAAUGCUAAGCUAACGGAUGGGUCUUGUCCAUCACAUCAUUCUCCUAAUGAUGUGAUCCCGUUCAUCAAAUGACAACACAUGUCUAUGGUCAGGAAACUUAACCAUCUUUGAUUAACGAGCUAGUCUAGUAGAGACAUACUAGGGACACUUUGUUUUGUCUAUGUAUUCACACAUGUAUCAAGUUUCCGGUUAAUACAAUUCUAGCAUGAAUAAUAAACAUUUAUCAUGAUAUAAGGAAAUAUAAAUAACAACUUUAUUAUUGCCUCUAGGGCAUAUUUCCUUCACUAAGUACUCCCUCUAGCUAUCUAUGCUUUUUCUCGUCUCAAACUCUAUUCAUGCUACAUCACAAAGUUUGAACAAGUCGAAUUCGGACCCUCUGAGUGAGGAGCACUCGGAGCCACCGAUCUGUCAAGGGCUUAACUUACAAAACCUCUUAAUGCCUUUCGGUCAGACCAACUCACUCCUACUCGGUCUCACCGAACUCAUUAAGUUGAUCUAGGUUUUUAUCUCGGUGCAACCGAUUUGAACUAUUCGGUCACACCGAGUUGCAGCAACUACUAGCAGUUAUGCAUCUCGGUGCCACCGAGUCGUUCCACUCGGUCACACCGAUAGCGUCUGGGUAUAUAUACCGCGGGUUGAAAUUUUGGAAACUCCUCCAAACCACUCGACCGUGCCUCCCAGCACUGCCGCCCCUUUGGUCUCCGGAUCGUCGCUGUCGUCGCCAGUGACCUCCUGCCGCCGGUCUCCGCUGCUGUCAAUGGAAUCCUCACCGCUUUGCCGCCGUAGCAAGUCCGUCGCCAAGUUAGGGUACGGAUUUGACCCUUGGUGCUUUCCAUAACUCCGAUUCUUGCACAAAGUAUAAUGCCUAUGUUCUUCUCACGUAUGAGAUUGAUCUAUCCACCAAAAGAACUCCUCAGAAUAGAUUUGAUGCAAAAAACUUAGGGUUAGGUUUCCGCUGAACUCAUCUCGGACCUACCGAUCUGAGGAUCUCGGUCACACCGAUUGGCCCUGGCCAUUGCACAAGUACAACUCGAUCUGACCAAGUGUACUGAUCUGUGCGACCGAAAUCACUAGCAUCUCGGAGUCACCGAACUGCAUUUUGGUCUGACCGAAACUGUGUGUUUAGACUCUAUUAGUGCUUCGGUCUCACCGAGUUUGUCAAAUCGGUAGCUCCGAAAUGCUUUCUGCAGAAAACUAAAAUUAAGUUUUUGUCUCAAUAUUUUUGCAAAAUAAGCUGCACUUUGUGAUGCUCAUCCACUCUAUCUAUACCCAACUAUUCACAGGGUCAAUUUCAGCAAUGUCAGAGGGCAGUGAUAGUCAGAACAAGUCUGAAGAGCAGCUCAACCUCAGUGAGGGCACUAGUCCCUCAAGAAGCUAUGAUAAGGGGAGCAGAAGCACUCCCAGUAACUUGCCUAAGGUAGCAACUAGGCAAAGGAAGAAGAGAACAUCUGAAUCUGAGGAUGAGGAUUUUGUCAUGGAGGAGGAGGUGACCUCCAAGAAGAAAGUACUCAAGAAAGAGUAUGCUGCUGCUGCCACAAAGCCUGUAAUAUAGAAGAAGGCUCCUGCUAAGAGAGCUCCGAUGUCAAAGGCCAGAGCCUCAACUUAAGAAACUAUGGAAUUCACUCUUGAACCAAGAGAGGAAGAGGCUGUUGGAGGAAAGAAGAGGAAGGAGAGAGUCAGAAAGACUAUUGCAAGAGUCAUUGGAAAACCUUCUAUGAUGAGAGAUUCUGAUGAAGAUGAGGAGGAGGAAGAGCCCGUUGCACCUCCUGCAAAGACUCAGAAACUUAUGGGGGAUGCCAUAAGGAUUGAGGCUGCUCAAUCUAAGCCCAAGUCUGCCCCCAAGCCUUCAGCUCAAGCUCAAGCUCCCAAGCCAUCUGCACCAAAGAGAUCUACCAAGAACAUCCCUACUGCUGAAAAGAAUAAGACCCCAGUGUCUGAAGCUCAAGAAGAAGAAGAGACACUAGUGCUAAAAAAACUCAAGCCCGAGAUUCCAGAUCAUAGUGAUGAUCAUCCUGUGGCAGAAAAUAUGAAGCUAAGAAAGGAUGCAGGUCCGAGACUUUGGAGAAAGACUGAUCCCUAUGCCACCAGGAGAAGAACUGCUAUGGACUAUCGCUUUCACACCAAGGAACAUUAGGAUUUCUAUGAGACUGUCCUUUUGGACAAGAAGCCCAUAGUAUGUGACAUGAAAUGGGUUGACUGGAAAUACAUUGAUGACAAUGAAUUUUUUUCCAAGUGUGCAUGAGAGCUUCAGAAUGAAUGAAGUUGACAAGUUUGUUGGUCAGAAGUUGACUAAGUGGAACAAUGAGAUGAUCAUGCAAUUCUAUUCCACUGCUCACUUCUACCCUGAUGGAAAGAUUGUCUAGAUGACUGAAGGUACAAGGUAUCAAUCAACUAUCUCAGAAUGGGCCAAGCUGAUCAAUGCUCCAGAGGAAUAGGAGAAUGACAUUGAUGUGUAUGCUAAGCCUAGGAAGGAUCAUAACUCCAUGGCUAACAUGUACAAGACUAUUCCAGAUGAUGCCCUGGAGACUCACAAGUUUGGAUCUAUCUACUUCCUGCUUGCUGGCCUGACCACAAUCAACACCAUAUUGAGGUACACUCUUUUGCCCAAGUCAGGAGAUCAUAGAAUGAUCCGUGGUCACUCCAUCAACUUGCUCCACUUGUUUGAUGUACCUCAAAAGUUCAAGGUAAUGAGCUUGAUUGUUGAGACAGUGAAGAGAACAUCUGCUGAUCAAAAGAGAUCUUCUGGAUAUGCCCCUCACAUUCAAAUGUUGAUCAAUUUCAAGAUGGAAACUGGGACAUAUCUUCUUGAUAGAGAGCAUCUUCCCCUGAGGCCAGACUUUGGGGACAAUGAGAUUGUCAUGGAUCCUUCCCAUCCUACUUGUGCUGAAGCCCAGGAGAAGAGAAAGAAAGCAAAGGCUGCAAAAGCAGCAAGUGCACCCGAUGCCUCCAUAGUUAUGCUCAAGACCAAGCAAGAUCAACUCAGUUAUCUGCUUGAGGCUACAAUGAGGAUUGAGAAGGGCUUGGCCACCCUGACUCAAAACCAGGAAAGUCUUGAGAGGAUUAUUGAGACUAAAUUUCAUGACCUAGAAGUGAAGGUCAUUGAGAUACAGACUACUACGGAGAAGCUCCAAGAAGAAGCCGAGGACAGGGAGGAUAGACCAACUACAUAUACUUUCCAGAGAGUGCCAAGGGCACAAAGGUCAUCAGCAGUGCCAGCUGUCAGAGACUCCAGGACUACUACUUCAGCACCUGCAGCAACUGCCACGGUUGCACCUCCAGUGUCAACCCCUCCAGCUCCAUAGACUUCUACCGAAGCUUUUGCAGAUGCCCUCCUCUCCAUGCCAUCUACGUACACCGAAGCAACAAGCCAGAAGACCCCUUUAGGAGCUCCCGGAGAUCGUGCCUAGAGUGCCGUAUAGCACCAUACGUUUUUGAACUUUUUGGUAACUUGUUGCCAAAGGGGAAGAAAGUGUAUAGAUCUUAGGCUUUGAGAGAGAGAGAGAGUGUGUGUGUGUGUUGGUUUUAUUUGCUUCUCUUGCCACUUUGAUCGUUUGGUUGUUUGAUUGCUAUGCUACUAUUUGUGCUAUGCUCAUGAGAUACUUAUGUGAUCAUGUGUUUGAUCAUACUAUGCUUAAUGUGUGGUUGCUUGCUUAUAUCCAUGAAUUUGUGUAUGAUCAAUCACUUGUACCCUUGGUGAUGAGUGCAUAUUAUUUAAAUCUUAUCAUUUUGAGCGCUCCACCAAGAUGUAUGUGACAUGGAAGAGUGACCCAUGAUCCUAAUCGAUUGUGCAUUUGCAUUCAAAAGCAAACUUUAAAUAAUGCACAAAUUUAGGGGGAGCUCUUGCUUAUCACAUACUUCUCAAAGCUAUGAUGUAUUUCAUUCAUAUUAUCAUUUGUCAAAGCUUUGAUCUAUAUGUUGUCAUCAAUUACCAAAAAGGGGGAGAUUGAAAGUGCAACUCAUCCCCUGGUGGUUUUGAUAAUUCAUAACAACAUAUAGCUCAUUGAACUAAUGUCCAUUCAAGUUAAAUAUUUCAGAAAGUUCAAUGAUUGGCAUGGCAUGGACUAGAGAUGUGGACCCCUCGAAAUGCUAAGGACAAAGAUUGGCAAAAGCUCAAGACUCUUCAUUUCUAUUUUAGUGAUCCAAGAUCACAUUGAGUCCAUAGGAAAGCCAAUACUAUUAAAAGGGGAUGAGGUGUUGCUUAAUGGUCUAGUUGCUCAAAGUGCUUAGUGAUAUUGCUCCAAAAGCCCUCAACCACUUUCUCAUUUCCAAAUAUGUCCAAAACCCAAAGUCAAGCCCCACCAAACCAUUCUAUCCGGCGCCACCGAGUUCAGUUGACAUAGCCACUGCCAGAAACCCUAGACAAUUUGGUCACACCGAUACGGAUCUCGGUCUCACCGGGAUGGCCUUGCAAACUCUCUGUUGCCCGUUGCAACUAUUUCGGUCUCACCAAAAUGUGCGAUUGGUCUCACCGAGUUUGUUUGCCAUCCUCUCUGUUGCCUUAUUGCUUCACUUCGGUCUAACCGAGUUGAUGCAAUUGGUGCCACCGAGUUGAUGUUUGCCCUAAGCCCUAGCACAUCGGUCCCACAGAGUUGUUCUUGUUGGUCCCACCAAGAUUCCUAACAUUCACAUUUCAAACUAAAUCGGUCUCACCGAGUUCUUUUAUUCGGUCUGACCGAGUUGGGUCAAAUGUGUGUAACGGUUGGAUUUUGUGUGGAGGCUAUAUAUACCCGUCCACCCCUUCUCCAUUUCUGAGAGAGCCAUCAGAAUGUGCCUACACUUCCACUACUCAUUUUCUGAGAGAGAGCCACCUACUCAUGUGUUGAGACCAAGAUAUUCCCAUCCUACCACUAGAAUCUUGAUCUCUAGCCUUCCCCAAGUUGCUUUCCACUCAAAUCAUCUUUCCACCAUAGCCAAAUCUAUGUGAGAGAGUUGAGUGUUGGGGAGACUAUCAUUUGAAGCACAAGAGCAAGGAGUUCAUCAUCAACACACCAUCUAUUACCUUUUGGAGAGUGGUGUCUCCUAGAUUGGUUAGGUGUCGCUUGGGAGCCUCUGACAAGAUUGUGGAGUUAAACCAAGAAGUUUGUAAGGGCAAGGAGAUCGCCUACUUUGUGAAGAUCUACCCGAGUGAGGCAAGUCCUUCGUGGGCGAUGGCCAUGGUGGGAUAGACAAGGUUUCUUCUUCAUGGACCCUUCGUGGGUGGAGCCCUGCAUGGACUCGCGCAACCGUUACCCUUCGUGGGUUGAAGUCUCCAUCAACGUGGAUGUACGAUAGCACCACCUAUUGGAACCACGCCAAAAAUCUCCAUGUCUACAUUGCGUUUGCCUUCUCGAAACCCUUCCCUUUACCUUCAUAUGCAAUGUUUUACUUUCCGCUGCUACACUCUUAGAAUUGCAUGUGUAGGUUGAUUGCUUGACUUGUACUAGUUGCUAAAAUCUGCCAACAAUUAAAAUUGGGAAAAGGCUAGAUUUUUAUUUUGUCAAGUAUUCUAAUAACUCCCCUCUAGACCUACUUUCGAUUUUACACUAUCUCCGCAGGGCAUCGCCUAAGCACUCCGAAAAUAUGACUGAGGGACGAAACUGUGGAGAGGGGCGCCGCACACGGCUAAGAGAUUGUCGUAGUGUUGUGUGUGGCACCCCCUCCCUCAUAUAUAUAGGCGGGGGGAGAUGGUAGGCAGCUAGGAGGCACCCCAAGGGUGGCCGAAUCCCUCUUGGCCUCCUGCCCUUGGCCGCCCCCCUUUCCUUGUUUGUGCGUGGGAGGAAGGCAGGGGGAGGUGGCGGCCCCCCUUUCCUUUCCCUCAUGAGGAGGGAAAGGCAGGAGAGGCCAACCUCCCUUUCCU
rnacentral:lncRNA from 1 species